AAAACAUUAUAAUUUUAUUUAUUUAAUAGUGGAGCUAGGCUGCUGCUGUACUAUCAGUAGUAUAGAAGCUUCUGUACUACCAAGUUGUUUUUAAUGAUGCGGCUUCCGAAUCAACGAUCGUUUUUUUAGAUAUGAUCUACGCUGUUGAAAAUAUUUAGAAAUCAAAUUUUAUUUUUUUUCGACAUUAUUUUACAAGUGAUCAAAAUAUUUCAAAAUUGAUAAUUUUAAUGACUGAUGUGUUGCGUUUAUAAAUUUAACGGUGUAAAACAAUUCAAAUAUGAUGAAAUUUUUAUAGAAAAUUUUCUUUACUAUUUAAAGUAAGAUCAGUACUUCUAAUCUUAAAUUCAAAUCUUUUAUCAUUAUUUUUUAUGAAAUUUUUAUUUUCAAUCGUUUAUUUUUAGACUACUCGUUUAAUAGGUAAAUGAUGUAAAAACUUAUAAAUUUUAGUUUUUUAAUACGUUCAAUAGCGUAGAUCAAGUACAACGUAACCGAUUGUCGAUUUGAAAUUCGCAUCAUCGAAAAUAAAUUGAUAGCAUGAUGGCCUCCGUACUACUGAUAGUAUACUGACUGAAUUCGAAAGUUUAAAGGGUCUCUUGGAAAUUUUCCCCAAAUUACGAGCUUAUCAAAAAAAAAAAAGUAAAAAUUAGUGGACCAAAGUGAAAUUGUAGUGAAAGUUCUAAGUGGUAAUGCAAUUUGACCGGUUAUAGGUCGGCGAGGAAAUUGGAAUGGAAUUUGUUUUCCCCAAAACUUGCGAUGGGGGGACUUAAUUCGGAUCGGGUGGAAUUAAUUCGACCCGGAGAAAGUUGGUGGACGUUCUCACACCCAACGUUGACCAAAGCCCCCGAAAGUUGACUUUUUUUGCCUAAUUAGACUUUAAAAAAAAAACGAAAAUCAUUUCCCUUAAUAUUAGGCUCGAGAUUUAUCGCGGGAUUCGUAGCAUCUCUAUUCCCAAAAAACAAAAAAGAAAUAAAAAAUCAAAUCAAAUCAAAUCAAAUCACACUCCCAUCUCUCUUCUUCUUCUUCUUCUUCUUCUUCUUCUCCAUCUACCCCAACACACACGCCUCGGGUCAAUGCGGUGCGAGGAGCGGUAGAGGAAUCGAGGGCUCUUCGGCCACCGAAUCCACGUUGGGGAAGCGAUUCCCCCGAUCGCGGGGCGGAAAAGCUCGGUUUUGGUGGGAAAAAGGGGGAGGAAAAGCUCGUCUUUUUGAGCUGUCGAUAGCUUCGGAUCCGAGAGCGCGAAGGAGCUUUUUUGGAUGAGGGAUCUCCGACCCCCCGGAUCUACGUACGAGAAGCGCUUCUUUCGGUUGCGGUGUGGAAAGCUCGAUUGAGGUGGGGAAAAGGGGCGAAAAAGCUCGCCUUUUGAGCCUUCCCUUUGCUGGAUCCGAGAAAUUUGAGGUAAAAGAGCUUUUUCAUGGGGUUUUAGGGUUUCUCGGGGGUUUCUGAGAAAACCCAGAUGGGGGCGUGCCCUGAUUGGCGCCUGAUUCGUACUGUUUAGGGUUUCCGAACCCCUCGAUUUAGGGUUUUUGUGGCGUUCAUCUGAUGAGGAUGGAGGAGAAUGCGGCGCUCCACACUAUACAGAGCUCGAUCCAAGCGUUGGGGAGGGGAUUCGACGUCAACCACGACACGAGGCUUCUAUAUUGCAAAGGGAUCGCGGGGUCUCGGCUAAUUGAGGUGGAUGCGCACGCUAGGGAUUUGGCGGUGUUCGAUGGCGUGGUUGUGCCCAAUGUGUCGAGGGAUGUGAAGUGUUCUUAUGAUAGUGGUGGAAGAGAGGGAACUGGUGCUUGUAGUUUCUAUGAGGUGUGGUAUAACUGUUACUAACUAAUUUCCCUUUGCUUUCUCACGUUAAAUUUGGUAUUUAAUUUGCAUUGGAGAUAGUUGUGCUUUCCCUUCGAAUCAGACAUUUGUAGUUUAUUGUGUAGUUGGUGAAAACAAAUUUAUAUUGUUUAAUAUGUGUUGUAGGAGGUUUUAAUUGGUUAUGGUAUCUAGUGAAGGGUGUGAUUGUUAGGGUGAUUAGGGAUUUUAGGUUCUUGAAGAUCGAGAACUGCUUCUCUUGUCCUGGUUGUUGGUUCUCUCAGAUUAAGCUUUUGUAGUGCUUUACAUGGUUAGGUCAGAAUUAACUAUGGAGGUACUUGUGUAUUUUGACCUCUAAACUAUGAGAUCUGAUCGCCCAAACUAGAGUGGAAGUCAUGCACUUAGUGUAUUGAGCGUUUUGCAUGUAUUACAUAUUGUUCUAGUUUGAUUAGAUAUUAUGUAUUUUAGAUUCAUAGAGAGCUAAUUAAACCUCAUUUUAAGUUAUAAGUAUGUGUUAGAUUAUCUAUAAUCCUUGUACUCAUAUUAAAUUGGCUAUUCUACUGGAGUUUUUCUAUUGAAAAAUUAGUCAUCAAUAUGUAGAAAUUUCUACAAACCAUGGAAAUAAUGCUAAAACAUAAUGGUUUUAAGUGUUUACCAUCUCCAUUGUGUGCAAUAUAUCAAUGCAAACUCAUUAUUUUGCUGAGUUUAUGUGACGAUUCGGCUUCUGUGUAUCAAAUCUUAGAGCUCAAAUUGAAGUAGUAAAUUGGAGCAAAUCAAGUUUACUUACAAUACAAGUGCCUGCAGAAAGGAUGUAAUGAAAUAAAUGGAUUUUCAGUGGUUGAUAUUUUAAAGUUGCAGAUUGCUAGUAAGUAGUAAGUAAAACCUAAUCAUAGGAAGCUAUGCUAUUUGUUGCCAUUGAGAUGUAUCGUAUACAAUAUUGAAGUGCAAACAAACUGUAGUUAGGGCAUUUGGGUGCCUCGUAUGAUUUAUUUGACAUAUGGGAUAUUGUUUACUGGUGCUUUUAUGGCAGUAAUAACUUCCUUGCAUUGUCAUAUUACGGGGACCUGUUUGGAUGUCGGAACAAAUUUUAUAGUGCCAAAUUUUCACAAUUAUGGAGAUUUCUUUUGUGACUGCAACCCAAUAGCUUGAUUUUCAAUCCAUUGUGAGCUUCCUUUAAAAUUAUAUCCCUAUGUGCAUUCUAUCAUGAUUCAUAACAAGCUUUAAUUAACAAACCUUGAGAUUGAUUUUAGUUUUUCAGCUGUUAAUUUACUUCUAUCAUUCCAAAAAGAAUCCGGUUUAAUGAUUAUGUUAUUUACUGUUAUAGUAACGCAGGUUUGAUUAUAUAGGUCACCAAUUCUCAUUAUUUUCUCAUUUUUCCCUUGGUAAGCGACCGCAGAUGGCAGAAUAUUUCAAUAGAAAGGCUAAUCUAUCAGGGAACAUCCCCCUUGGAUGCUUCAAUUCUGCAUUUAGCUUCACAGGAUUGAAGAAAACUGAUGCUGCAUCUACGAAGAGCCUCGCCAUGGAUGGGAAGUUCAUCCCUUUAUGUAAAGUUCAGAUUAUAAAGCAAUCCCUAACAUUGAAAGAAGAGGUGAGGCGUGCUGUGCCACUUUCAUGGGACCCAUCAUCUUUAUCAAGGUAAAGAUGCAGAUUUUUCUGCAAAAGUAAGCAAGUUAUGUAAUGGAGCACCUUGAUAAUUUCAACUUGUAUACAGGUUUAUUGAGAAUUAUGGCACUCAUAUUAUUACAUCCAUUACUAUCGGUGGUAAGGAUGUAAUCUAUGUCAAGCAGCACAGUUCGUCGCCUUUGUCAGCCAUGGAAAUUAAAAAUUACGUACAAGACCUCGGAGAGCAGAGGUUCUCUGAAAGCGAGAGCCACACGAGCUCAGGUCCAAUGAAAGUGAAGGAUAAGGCUAGUGCUUUUGUGCUAUUCUCUUGGAAGUUGCUCACGAGCAGUAUAAUUAGCAUAUGUUGCUGUUAUGUCCCUCUGACUAUUUGCUGCUCAUGGUUUGCCAGGCUGUGGAUCCUUUCGUAUUCAACAGCCAGGGAGUAUAUCCGCAACCUCCUAACACGCCGUAUCUUACCGCAAAAGAGGCAAGUGAAACAUCUUCUCUUUUAUUAUCUACUUUUGUGUCUUAAUACUCCAAUGAUUAAAGAAGUGCAAACAAGUCCUACAUGCUGGUUGACAUAUGAGUCUAGAAAUAAGGAAUAUAGGUUGGAGGAGGAGAAUUACUUUUGUUUCUUCAUUUUACCCUCUAUAUUUGAAACCUUACACACAGUUUGGACUAUGAAAUUUCUCUUGGGGGACAUUGGCAAUUUGGUGAUGCUUCCAUUAUUUAACAAUGUUUAUGACUUCUUUCUUAGCUUUGGUCCCUUUUGGAUACAACGCUAAUGAUCAGACAAGAUUACUACAGAUUUGUUUGUAGGCCUAGCUAGAGCAGCUGUAGAAGUGCUGUUUAUGAAGAGUAGCUGCUCGAAAUAGCACUAGCAUCCUUUUCAUUUAAAUAAUAAAAUCUCCGCAACAGCUUAUUGCUGUAGCAGAAGUGAAAACUUCAAAUUGCUGUUUCUGUAUCGCUUCAGCAAAAGCACCAAUUCUUUGGUUUGCCAAAUACCUGGUAGCAGCUAGCUUAUCUGUAUCAGAAGCUAGGUGCGAUGGGCAUUAAGACUGAUAUUCAGCACGGACACUUCUAUAAGCCUCACGUGUCCGUGUCGGACACGUGUCCUAUGUGGACACUUUUCGAACGCCCGUUUAAUAUUUAUUCAUAGUGCAUACAACUAAAAAAAUAUAUACCUAUUUUUAUUUUACUUUUUUUUAUACAUAUGUAAUGUAUGAUAAUAAAUAUUUUAGCUUUUUGAUGAAUACAUAUAUAUAUUUUUUUUGACAAUAUAAAUAAAUUAUCUAUGGUGGAGAAUUUUUUUCCUUAAAAUAUAUGAACUAUCAAUAAAAAUUUUACUAAUUUUCAUUCGUAUGAGAAAUAUAACAAUAUUUUAUCCAAAUUAAUAUUUUAUAUAUAAUAAAAUAUAUUAUUAUAUUAAUAAUAUUAUAUUUUAUUAGCGAUGUUUAUGUCGUGUCCGUGUCCUAAUUGUUUGAAAGUUGCCGAGUCGCGGUGUCUAAGUCAUGUCGUGCCCCGUGUCCCGUGUCAGUGUCCGUGACGCCUAGAUAUUCAGCCAUGAGGCCAGAUGAUAAGAUGCACUACUAAGCAUGGCAGGAAGUAUUUUGCAGUUAAACUAUCCAUUGUAAAGCCCUUCAUAUCAAGUGAUUAAUACAUUAGGACUCUGAGAAUCCUAAUUUACUGAAUUACAUGCUAGGUUUUAUUCAAGUAUUCUAUUUCAAGGAGGAGAUUUUUUUUUUAAUAUAUUUCCUGUUUUCAUGUCAUUGCAAAUUAUGGUCUUGACGAGCAGACAGAAGCAUGUGCAUUGUUUUUGCCCUCCAUCAUUGAAACUCUGCUCGAUACCUCCUGUAAACAGAAGAUACCAUAUCCGAUGAUAGAUUUUAUGGCUUAUAUUAUACUAUCUGCUACUCGCCAUUUGUAUUGGUUUGAUUAUCAAACAAAGUUAUGGUAGGCUGAAUGAGAGACUCCUGUAAAGUUUGCUGUUUUCAUGUUUAGUUUGUUACGAUAUCUAUAUGAAAACAGUUGCUUAAGACGAUAUCUAUAUGAAAACACUUGCUUAAGCCUCUCAACUAAUGAUGCGAUUUUGAAAUGUCCCUAUAUUCUGAUGAAUUUACUUAUGCAGGAUGUAACAGUAAUUUUCAGAAGAAGGGGAGGUGACGAUCUAAUUCAAAGCCACACUCAUUGGGCAAGAACCAUCCGUUCAGCACCCGAUGUUAUUGAUAUGACCUUCUUUCCAAUCACUUCUCUACUUGAAAGGGUGCCUGGAAAGGACCAUCUUAUCCGUGCUAUCAACCUUUACCUCGAAUGUAAUGUACCGCCAUAGUUGAUAUACGCUCUAGAUCAAAAUCUAUAACUAGACUCUGAAUUGUUCUAUUGGAUUCUGCAGAUAAGCCCCCAGUUGAGGAGCUAAGAUACUUCUUAGAGUUUCAGGUUCCUAGAAUAUGGGCCCCAGUUCAAGAUGGGCUUCGAGGACAGCGAAGAAAAGAGCCAGUGUGCCCAUCUUUGCAGUUCAGCAUAAUGGGAAAGAAGCUAUAUAUCAGCCAAGAACAGGUACGCAGCAUCGAGAAUGGAAUGUCGGCCUUGAAAACUGGCUAAUACCUUUUUCUCGAAAUAUAUUUGAGCCAGAGGUGUUUUAUAAGAGACGGCUAUAAAAUCUCAUUAUGAAGAUGAAAUGGCGUAGACAAAGCACAAGUAUCACUUCUUUUAUUGUUUGUCAAUCAUCCGGAGGGCUGAAACGAAAGCACAUGUGAAUGAUAAUGUUGGACUAUUUAUUUGAAAAUUUUGCGCUGUUAGUGACAGAUGUCCUGUAGUAUCAUAAUUUUCGUGUUAGAAAAAAAAUAGCAAAAUUGACCUUCCUUUUCUGGACGUUUCCUAUUGCACUAAAACCUUCAAUAUGUGCAGAAUAUAUAAUGCCGCCACUGUAUUUUGCGGAUUAUUAAUUCUGUACCACAGAAUCAUUAUUAUCUAUUUUUUUUCCUUAGUAAAUCUUCAUUUUGCAUAAUUUACAUGGACUCUGCGGAUUCUUAUUUCCACAUCUAGUCUUAUGCUUCUUUUAUAACUAAAAAAAGUAACUUCUUCAGGUAACAGUUGGGCGAAAACCAGUCACUGGACUAAGACUCUGCUUGGAAGGCCCAAAACAGAACCGACUAUGCAUACAAGUGCAGCACUUAUCGACCCUACCCAAGAUCUUCCAACCCUACUGGGAUGCCCAUGUGGCGAUUGGCGCACCAAAAUGGCAAGGACCCGAGGAACAAGACAGCCGAUGGUUCGAGCCUGUUAAGUGGAAGAACUUCUCCCAUGUCAGCACGGCUCCGGUUGAAUACCACGAGUCCUUCAUCGGCAACACCUCCGGCGUAUACGUAGUCACCGGGGCUCAGCUUGGAGUGUGGGAUUUCGGUGCAAAGAAUGUCCUUUACAUGAAAUUGUUAUAUUCUAAAGUACCUGGAUGCACUAUUAGGAGAUCAUUAUGGGACCAUAGCCCUACUGCUGCUGCUGCUACACCUACAAUUACCUUGGACGACAAACCUGAAUCUGGCGACUCGAGCUCGAGCUCGAGUUCAGCGGAUGCGGGCAGGUUGCUGAAGUUUGUGGACAUGUCGGAGAUGUAUAAAGGGCCGGACGAUAUACCCGGGCACUGGUUGGUGACGGGCGGGAAGCUCGGUGUUGAGAAAGGGAAGGUUGUUUUGAGAGUUAAGUAUUCUUUGUUGAACUACUGAAACCAGUUUGUUUUACGGGUGUUGACGGUUGUUGUGCAUUUUGCAUGUAUAUUAUGGAAAAAUUUGCUUCGAUUAAAUUUAGUGAGUCGAAGAUUUGAUUUUCCCCACAAGCAUUUCUCAUAGUUAGUUGAUCAAGCUUCCUUUUCUGGAGUGCUCAGCAAGGCCUAGGGAAGUUGAGGUUCCUGAAUAAUUUAUUUCCUGUAGGAGUUAUGGUACAAGUACCUCACAAGGGACAUCAAAAUUCAGUUCCUGACAAGUAGUUGGUUCAGCUUUUAAGUUUCCCACAUGGCGCAUAACAAGGACAUCGAUUUGGAAAAAGCUAAACCUGUCACUUUUGCUACGUGCGCAAUAUUGAUUCAUCAAUUAUAUUUUGAAGUGCUUUUCGACUGUACUGGUGCCAUUACUCUUCUGGUGAAGUAUGUUGAUUCAGAUUCAGCGAGAGGCUACCGACACUUUAGCAGUAAUCCAUGGUCCUCAAAGUCCUUGCCUUAAACUGUAUAAUAUCUCUGUGCCAUAGUUUCAAACUAGGUUAAUUGUUGUUCCUGUAGGUUUCACAUCUUAUCUUUUUAGUUUGCAGUAUUUUGUUAGUGUUCUAAACCAGCUGAGAAUAAGUUCUGUUAUAGUAAAUUAUACAGUUAGUCUCUGACCUUUUGGACGAAUUAAAAUUUGAUUUCUGAUCUCUAAGUUGAACCGAUUAAUUCGUGAUCCUAGUCUUUCUCCAUGAUUAGAGAUGAACUGUAAGCUCUAAUUUGUCCUGUUAGGGACCAAAUUAAAGCAAUUAGGCCUGAUAUCUAGUUAUCUAUGGAGGGCCCUGUUAUUUUCAUUCUGAUGUUUUAGGUCUAUAUUUGACCCAGCAACUGCUUCCAUAGAAAGUGAUGCUUGGAUAGAGUUUCUCAAAAAGUCCAAUGUUACAGUUGGAUCUACCAAACUGCUUGCUGUUAAGCUGGAAGAGCAACAGCUUAGGCAUUCAAAGUUAGAGAUUUUGUUUUCAAGACUCCAUUUCGCCCGACAACUCGAAUCUUUGUUUGCAGAACGCAUUAUUUUUACUUCUUAUAUACAAAACACAUUUUACAAAAUGUAACAUACACCGAUAUGAAGUGAGGAAAAAGUUUUUAUCAGGCACAUUUUUUUCACUAGCACUCAUCCCUACUGUAAGAUAUUAAUCUGGCAGCGGAAAGGAAUGCGUCUAAUAAAGAUGCAUCUGGAGAUUUUGCUUUGCAAACUCAAUUCAUCCGACCAUUCAGAACAUUAUCUCUCAAAUAUUUUGCUUUUUGCUUCUUAUAUACGAAAGACAUUUUGCAUAUCGAACAACUAAACAAAUACCUAAGUUUUUAAUCAGAAUCAUUGUUUUUCACAAGCAUCCCGUCCUACUGCAAGAUAUUAAUCUGGCAAUAGAAAGGAAUGCACUUAUUAGAGAGACAAGUGCUUUUCACCAUGUAUUUUACCACUGUGGGAGACAAAGCAAACCAAAAUGGCAUCUCACACCCAUAUUUACAUCAACACCUUUUAAUAGAAGAAUCAUAUACAUAUAACAUAUUCAAAUAUUCCAAUUAAAAUAGAACUCUCACACCCCACAAAAGUACUACAACACCAUCAUAUCCCCACAAGCAUCUCUCACCCAUGUGAUGAGAAGUGGGGGAGCUACAAACAAUGACUAAAAUAAAAUCUAAUAAUAAGAUGUCCUUGGCACCUUCACCAAAAACCAAAUAUAUAUAAUACACCCGUCUAAUUAUAUUAAUACAUCCAUAUAAUUUUAUGUUUGUAUUAAUAUAAUCUCCCUACUAAUUAAUUAUGGUUUGUAGAGAGGGACUUAGCGGGUGCUAAAAGUGGAGCAACCUCUGCAUAGCCAAAUUCCUCUCUCUCCCUCUCUCUCUAAAAUGAGGAAAAAGAAAAUGUACACAUAUAUAUAUGUAUAUUGCAAACUAGCUAGCCAGUAGUAAAUAAAUAUAAUUAAUUUUUUAUUUAAAAUUGGCCGCCCUCGAAGGUCUGGCCGAAUUGCCAGUUGGCCGGGGCGACGUUGUAGCUGGUGAUGGUGCGGCCGUCGCUGGCGGUGACCUGGAAGGAGAGGGACUGGCCGUCGAGGUACGAGUUGCUCUGCCAGUUCUGGCCCCAGUUGCGGGACAUCGGCUGCCACCCCGUGUUCGACCCCUUGAUCGACACAGCGUGCACGUCGCCCGCGCCCGCCACGUUCGUGAUCAGCACCAGGUUGAAGUACGAGUGACCGUUGACGGUGAAUCGGACACCGCCUUUCUUUACGCAGGGCACCCUGCAGUCCCAGAAUUACAAAAGUUAUAAAAAGAGUGGAUUUUGUGACAGAUAUCUGGGCCCAAGAAGAUCACCACAUCCCCAUGUUGAGUCCGGGCCAGAAGUGGACCCAAACCUAGACUAGGACUUGGUCCCACUUAACUACAAAUUUAUGGUACAAAAGAUGUAGUUUAAUAUUUGACAUGAAGCUAGUUUAAUCCAAACCGAGCUAAUUUAGAUUGGGUUCGAGCCAUGGGCUAGCUAAAUAAGUCAACGUAUAUGAUAGUAAAUCUCACCUUCUGUAGGCCACGGGUACGAUUCCCGCACGGUACUGAGCAAUUUGGAGGAAUGCCGGCUCGGCCAUGUCGAAGUGCGGGCGGGGAGGGUUGCACCACCCGCCGUCGUCACUCGGGAGGCCGUAAUUCGGGGGGCAGAAGUUCGUAGCGGUCACUAUGAUCGAGCCAGGCAGGCACCACUGCGGGUCAUCGUCGCACCGCAUCUCGUAGCACGACCCGCAGCUAAGGCCGUCAUUGAACAGCGCGGUGCUCAGGGCUGCGGUGUUCGUCCCGUACCCCUGGCUGUACAAGUUUCCGUACCCGCAAGCCCCUCCUGCAUGAUGCGACAAAUAAAAUCAACACACUUUUCAAAAAAAAAAAAAAAGAAAAAAUAAAGUUACAAGUGUAUUCGUCUUCAGAUGCACGGGGAAUUCUGUCACUGAGGAAUGUCAGAACUAAGAUGUGCAAUUAUAUUUCUGGUCGAAAAUGUUUAAAGAAAUUACCCAUCGUGGCCGGACUCACACCUGGCGCCAGUAAAAUGUCGCGGUGCGCGCCCUGCCUAAAUCGCAAAGAUCCCAAAGCUACCUCAAGAGGAAGAGAAAUGAAGGGAAGAAGAAACAAGAAAAGCCAUAGAAGGAACCAUGACUGUCCAGUUGAGGAUAACUAACAGAGAGAAAGAGCGUUAUAAAGAGGGGGGGCGGGGGGGGGGGGGGGGGGAGGAUUGAAAUUGUGUGGUGUGGGGUUUAGGGCUACUUGGUAGAGGAGAAAAAGAUGAAGGAGAGGGUGCUAGUAAUUGAUAGAAAAGAGAGUGUGGCGGUAGCAGUAUACAUCAGUUUCUAAAAAUAAAAAAAAUUUCCUCUUUUUUUUUCUUUGCUUUUUAAAUAAUUUGUUAUUUUAUUUUUAUUUGUUAUUUUUCAUUUUUAUUUUGUAGAAAAUAGAAGAGACAACUUGGGUGUUCCACAUUGUUGAAAGGGAUUGGAGUAAAUGGGGACAAAAGGGGGAGCACAUGCAAAUGUUUUGGGGGGGUUGGGAGUACCAACCACUAAGGACCCUCAUGUGGGGCCCACUACCUCCCCUCACCCACAUGCACUCUUUCAACAUUUUCCUUUUUUAUUUUAUUUUGUUAUUUUAUUUUAUUUUUUGAAAAAGAAUUAUAGUUUUCUUUUUCUUUUUAAGAUUGAAUAAAAGUUCUCCUCUUGUGUUAUUCACCCAAAUGUGUGAGGGGUUAAGAGUAACUCACAAUGAAGGAGAACUUUUUCCAUUAGUUCAAAAUGUAUCAUCUAGUUUUCGACAGAAAUUAAUAUAAGAUUAUUUUAUAAACAACAAGCUGAUAAGAACAAAUUACAUGGUAGUAAAAUAUUUUAGAAUUUUACUGCGAUAUAGUUUAUAUAAGAGAGUACUGAAUUAUCCUAUCUAUCAAGCGAUUUCUAUCGAAAAAAUUUAAAAAAAAAUUCUGCCUAUGAGACAAAGUCUUUGUUUACUUUGAAUCAAAAGGCAAGUGAAAUUUGCAAAAGCAUUAUGUUGACUAGGGCUUUUUGGAGGUUUUCAUAUAAUUUCGUAAAAAAUAAAAAAUAUAAUACAGUUAGUAAAAACAUAUUUCUUUCAUAAAUGUGAUCAUAAGUUAAUUCUAUGCCUAGUGGAAUAGACUUUAAAUUUUAUUUCAGUCAACUGAAUAUCCACGCUGCUGACUGUUUAAAAAAAAAAGGAGAAGAAAAAUAUUAAAAAAAACUAUAUAUAUGCAAAAUAAUGAAUACACUUUUAUUUUCACUACUAAUUGCCACCAAUUAAGAUCAAUAUCACCAAAAUCUCCAAAUUAUUUACAUUAAUAAUGUGGUCUCAAUUUUCUCUUGCUUUUUUUCAUUUAUAAUAACCCAAUAAAUUGAGGUCCUUGCNCACAAAUAAAAAAAAAAAAAAAAAAAAAAAAAAAGGUUUCAUACACUUGUGAAAUAUUUCCAUCAAAAGUCCUUGUGAGUUGGUUACUCAUGUACUACAUAUACUACCAUUGACUUUGUUUAUAUUAAAGAGUACUAUAUAUGUCAAUAUAUAUACUACAAAUUACAAUAAAAGAACUUUGUUGAAACCGUAUAUGAAUAUCUUUUGGUGAUUCUUUAUCAUAAAUCCAUCCAAAAUAAUUUGUAGUAUUUACACAUUGUAAUUAAUGUAUCUAGCUACAAAAUCUUUAUAUGUUUAUAAAUAUGAAAGAUUUAUAUUUAUUUCAAAUAUUAUUGGCGUGCCAUAUUUGUACAAUUAAUUAAUGAUGUAUUGUACAUUAAUAAACCCUUCUUUUCAAUAAUAUAUAUAUAUAUAGUAAUGUAGAUGCAGUACUUUUUACAGUAAUGUUACUAACUUUUUGUUUUAGAUUAGAAAUGCCUGUAAGUUUUUAUCUUUUUAUAUGAUUUUUAAAACUUUUUUUUUCAAAAAAUACCUUUUGGUGCAUUUUCUACAAAAAUCUAAGAAUAUUUUGGCAGCAAUUUUAACAUUUAUUGUCUUUUUCUUUAAAUAAAAUAUUUCGAGAUUCUACUAAAAGAUGAUAAACACAUUUUCAGUCACAAAACUGUUUUUUGAGAUAUUUUUUAGAAAAAUAAAUUUCUAGUGAAAAAGAAUUUUCACCGGUUUGACUUUUUAGAAAAUAUCUUAGAAAUUAGUUUUCUGGCUGAAAAAAAAAAAAUUGUUUGUCCAGAUUCGAGAAAAAAUAGUUUUCUUAAAAAAUUUUUAGAAAAGUUUUAUUUCUUUUUCUUAUUUUUUAUAUGAAAAACGAAAGCUAUGGAAAAAAUGGUUUUUGUGAUUUUUUUUUUCAGACAAUAAUUUUUCACUAUUUUUUGGAGGAACCAAACAAACCCUAAAUAGACACAUUCUUUUAUCAUACAGUAUGAAUUCUUUUAAAUGUACUUCUUCUUUUUUUUUUUUAAAUCUCUCUCUUAAUUUUCAAACUAUUAUUAUACAUAAUACAAAAGAAUUAGGGGCAUGGUGAUGAGAUCGUGAUUAAUGGACGGCCAUAAAUGGUUGUUGGUUCAAUUAGGUAGUGGCUCACAUGAAGCAAGGGUUUAUUUGGUGGGCAGGUGAUGGGUGCAUGGGAGGUUUGACGAGUAAAUGUGCACUUCAAGCACCAAAUCACUAUUACCCAUUUGCGCUAUAAUUUAGGAUUCGAGCUUUCGACUUUGGGUUUACUUUAUAUAAGUUUCUGGGGGUGUUCGGUGGCCGAUUUUGAGGUAAGAGUUCGAACCUCAGAAUGUGCUAGACUUUGGAAUUGCAAGCACCAAAUCCCUAGUGUCGUAUAAUUUGGGAUUCGAGCUUUCGUUGGGUUUAGUUUAUAUGAGUUUCUGGAGGUGUUCGGUGGCCGAGUUUGAGGUCGGAGUUCGAACCUUAGUAUAUAUGUGCUAAGCUUUAGAAUUUCAAGCCCCAAAUCACGAGUACUCAUUUGUGCUAUAAUUUAAGAUUCGAGUCUUCGACUUUGGGUUUUCUUUAUAUAAGUUUUUCGGGGUGUUCAGUGGUUGAUUUUGACGUAGGAGUUCGAACCUCAUUAUGUGCUGAACUUUGAAAUUUCAAGCGCUAAAUCACUAGUACUCAUUUGUCCUGUACUUCGGAAUUCCAGCUUUCGUUGGGUUCAGUUUAUAUGAGCUUUUUGGAGUGUUCAGUGGCCGAUCUUGAGGUCGGAGUUCGAACCUCAGUACGUGCUAAACUUUAGAAUUUCAAGUGCCAAAUCACGAGUACUCAUUUGUGCUAUAAUUUGGGAUUCGAGUCUUUGACUUUGGGUUUACUUUAUAUUAAGUUUUUGGGACUGCUCAAUGAGCGACCUUGAGGCUGGAGUUCAAACCUCUGUGUGCGCCAAAAUUUGGAAUUUUAAGCGUCCAAAUCACUAGUACCCAUCUGUGUUAAGAUUUGGGAUAUUGAGUCUUUGACUUUGGGUUUGGUUUAUAUACGCUUUUGAAGAUGAUCCGUGACCAAUCUUGAGGUCAGAGUUUGAACCUCCGUGCAUGCUAAAAUUUGGAAUUUGAAGCGUCCAAAUCACUAGUACUCAUCUAUACUAUAAUUUGGGAUUUUGAGUCUUCGACUUUUGAAUUUGAUUUAUAAACAUUUUUGGGAGGCAGACGUUGAGAUCUGAAUUCGAACCUCAGAGUUUGAACCUCCGUGCGUGCUAACAUUUCGAAUUUCGAGCACCAAAUCACUAAUACUCGUCUCUGUUAAAUCUAGGAGUUCGUACCUCGGAGUUCGUACCUCCUACGUUGGGUUUAGUUUAUGCCACUCUUGAUGUCAGAGUUCGAGCCUUCGUAUCUACUAAAAUUUGAAAAUUUUGAGCCUCAAAAUUCAAACUUAUUUUACAUAGGUGGUUGGAAGUGUAUGGGGCCUAUGAGCAGAGUAAAAAGAAAAAAGAAAAUACUAAAUAUAAUUUAGCGUUAGGUGAGUUUUGGGAGUACCAUAUAUGUGUUUAUAUAUGCACGGUACCUGUCCUUUUUCGAUUGAGUCCUCACAACUUUUAAUUAUAAAUAUCAAAUAAUUUUACUCAAAAAAGAUAAAAAAUUUUAUUAAAUACAUUGGUAUGAUUUCAUCAAAUUUAACCCCCCCAAAAUUUCUUUUCUUUUCUUUUUUCUCUUCCCUUAGAGUUGCCGGUAACAGGAUCGCUCAACUAGUACCACCAACGUAGUGCUCCACCAAUCUCCCUGCGCACUAAUGCCUGCGAACAGCAGCGCGGUGCACCGUUUGAGCUAGGUGCAAUAUUAAAAAAUUAAUUAUUUUAAUAUAUGUUAUUAAAUAAUUAAAUCCUUUUUUUCAUUCCACUUUUACAUACCUCUUGGGGAGUUGAUAUCCUCAAAACCCUUUAUCUGGGGAAUCGAAAUUCAACAAUANNUAUAUAUAUAUAUAUAUAUUUAAAACCAUAGUAAAAAAUUUAAAUUGGCGAAUUAAACCUCAUUAAUAAGUCAAAAUCAUCACCAAAAUAUUUACAGUACAUAAUUCAAACUUUUUAGACCAAAAAAUAAUUUUUAAUAUAAAACAGUUUUUAAUGUAUCCCCUUCUAAGUUCUAAUUAAUUAAUUUGGGGACAACAUUAUGAUUUGCAGGAAUAAAACUGGGAGAACCUUAACAUAAUCAGAUGAAUAGUCCACAUCUAACUCCCGCCCCACAAUUAAAUAAUAAAUAAUAAAUAAAUACACACUUGAUUUAUUUUCAAAUUUUAUUUUAUUAUAAAUUUCCCAUUCAAAGUAUUUUAUAUUGUUAAAAUUAAGUCACAAAAGCACAAUUUAAUCGACUAAAUAGUGAUGUGUCGCUAGUGUGAAGGUUACGCGACAGUGUUGUGAUUAAUAACGUGACAAUUGAAACUUAUAAUAAAUUAAAUUUUAGGGUAAACUUUAAAUACCACUUAGGUGGUUUCGCACUUCUCACUUUAGUAUCCUAUUGUUUUCUCUGUUAAUGUUUCGUUAAAUUAUAUAAAAAAAAACUUCAGAUAUCCUGCCUAAGUUUAUCAAAUAUUUAUUUUAGUACUUUUUAAUUUUAACUUUGUCACUAAUUAAAUGAAAAGAAAUUAGUGCAGGAGACAAUAAAAAGAGAAAAAUAAAAUCACGAAGUACUAAAUCGAUACAUUUUAAAUUACAGGAUAUUAAAAUAAAAAAGUGCGAAAACACACGGGUGAAAUAUCUUGCGCUUCAUAGUUUGAGGAACAAGAAGUGUAAUUUAAUAUUUUAAUAUAAAUCAAUAAAUAAAUUUAAUUUAUUUAUCCAUGAAAAUGGUGGGCCCAUGCGAUGGUUAGGUGCACAUGGGGUCCUGGACUUUGUGGCCAAUCGAGCUAUCAACUGGUCUAUUUUUUUUUGGGUAUUUUGGAUGUAACCUAAUUUCUACAAAAUCAACCCCCACAUGCAUAUGAAUUGCAAAAUCUUAGGGGUGGAGUGUUUUAUGUGCAUGUAUAUUUAUUAUUAUAAUUGUGACACAAGGAGAUAUACUUAUGUGUUAUGUCCAAAUGCAUAUAAUCCUGCAUAAGACAAAAGGAGAUGCCAUGUGCAAGAGGAAUACAAUCAACAGGGCCCCCGUAAUGCUGCUUUCAGAAGCUCGGUGACGUGUUGGCAUUAAUAAUAAGGCAUAAUUCGUGUGUGACUCAGCUCAAAAGUAUUAAAACUUUUUCUGGACGUACUAUUUUCUAUAAGAUUGAUCUUUUAAGUUAAUGGUAUAUAAGUUUGAGAGAAGCUGGGUGACGUGUUGGCAUUAAUAAUAUGGCAUACUUCGUACGUGAUUAAGCUCAAAAGUAUUAAAACUCUUUCUGAACUAUUUUUUAUAAUAUCGAUCUUUCAGAUUAAUGGUAUAUAAGUUUGAGCUAGGCUUGUGUGCUUUUAAAAACAUCGGGGAUAUUCGUGCUAUCAAAUCAUUUUUGAUACUAAGGCUUCCGAAUCGAUGAUCAGCUCAGUAGGCUUGAUACAGAGUAUUUGAAAUAGUUAGAAAAUAAAUUUCGUAAUUUUUUUAUAUUAUUUCACGUAGUCAUUGAAAGGAGUCCAAAAUCAACAAUUUUAAUGGUUGUGGUGAGCCGUUUGCAAGUCUAAUAAUAUAAAAAUAUUCAAAUCGCAUAAAAUUUUAAUUAAAAUUUUUUUAUACUAUAUAAAACAAAGAUCAAUAUAUAUAUUUCAUCAAAAAUUUUAGUGUCAUAUGAUAACUUUUUUGUGAGAUUUUUAUUUUCAACUAUCGAUUUUAAACUCCUUCGUUCAUUAAGUAAAUGAUAUCAAGAACUGAUAAAAUUUAUUUUCUAGAUGUUUCAAGGAGACUCUCGUGCUUCUAAAAAUACACGAGCCAAACUUUGUAACUCUUUUCAAUUUUUAUUUUAUGGUAUAAAUCAUAUUAGUAUUAUGUUUUUUUAAAAAUUUUUGCAUGUGACAUAAUUCAACUUAUCGUCAAUAUUUAACAACAUAUAUUUCCCUAUUAAUAAUAUAUAAGAGCAAUAUUUUGAAAAAUGCACAGCAUAUGUUUCCGCAAAAGCAAUGGAAAUAGAGAAUAGAUUACACAAGAUCUUCCAAUGAUGGGACGUGGUGUGAUAAUUAUUCUUUCCACUAGAUUAUAGAAAAUCUCCAAAAGGGUACGAAUAUUCUUGGACUUUUACCCAUUAUUUGUUGAGUUAUUGUUUAUAUUAUCUUGUAAUUUAAUAAUUGGCUCAAGUUCAAUGAAGCGUAGACAAAGUGAUUAGUAAAAUCUUUGUCCUUGUAAUAUAUUUAAUUCUCCUCGAAAAGAUAAAACUAUUGAUCUUUUGUUUAUUGUUAAUUUAAUUUCCAAAAACCAAUAUAUACCAUUUUGUUGAGUUCCUUGUAUUGGCACCAAAGCACGGUUUUGGUUGACAAAUAAAAAAUUAGAUAAUUUUGAUAUAAAAACUCUAAUUUAAUACUUUUAUUCUGCUUUAGAACAAACAAACAUGUUUAAACAUUAUUAAUUAGAGAUGUUAAUGGUUUUGACUUAUGACUGAUUUCAAAACUCCGGACCCGAAAGAAAUUACUUCGAUCUUUACCAUAUUUCGAAACAUAUCAUACGUACACAAAUUAAAAUUUAAAGCAAAUUCAAUUUUCUUAUAUUACAUAAUAGAAAACCAGUUUGGGUUUGAAUUCUGGUUCGGAUUGAGUGCAAACAAAAAUAUAUCAUACCCGAAUCCGAACCCGAACGUGAUGGGUUUUCGUUAUCUAUAUCCAUAAUUGAAAUAAUAUUUGUUUAGAAUUGAUAACUCAUUGUGUUCAGAUUCAAGUUUGGAUAAAAUUUCACGCAUCUGUUUCCGCUUAUUCAUCAUUCACAAAAUAACACUGCACAAAAAGAAGAAAAAUAAUUCAGGUGGCCCCAAUUUCAUGCAAGUGAUUAUGGACAUGCAAACCGUCGACGUCCCAAAGUUGAAGUCAUUAACUCUAUAAUAAAUUGGUUGAAAAAGAGGCCAACAAAUUAGGCAAUGUGUUACAUCAAAAGAUUACCACUUUUUGAAGCUUUGGUACUUAAUUUUGAUCUUUUCCCUUUUUCCCCCUCACCUUUUUCCUUUUUCUUUUUCUUUUUCACUUUAGUUAUUGUAAGUCAAUGUGAUGAAAGAUCAAGAAUUAGGUUAGAAAAGUAUUAGUGAUUCUGCGUUCUUUGUCUCCUUUUUUUUUCGCUCAAAAUUGACUGGCACAGUAUAUUAAAAGUUGAACUCAGUACCUCUCAGAGAGCGAAUGAGACCAUCAAGAUAACUUAUUUAGUGGUCUCUCAUAUUUGCUGUACUAACUUGUAGUGUUAGUGCUGAAGAAUUAUUGCACGUGUCUGAUUCCUGAAAAAAGCAUGGAAUACUGUUUUCGAAAAAAAAAUUAUGAAAAAUAUAUACUAUUUUUUCACCGUUUUUAUUUUCAGGAUAAAAAAUUUGAAAACAAAUAUACUACGUUUUCUAAAUCUAGGAAAAAUUUUUUUUUCUAAAAAAACUAUUUUUCCCUAGGAACCAGGUGGAUGAAAACUGCUUUCCGGACAGAAAACUGUUUUCCAGAAUAUUUUUCCAGAAGCCAAACACCCACUAAAGGAUAUCAUUUUAACGCAUUAAAUGUGUUUGAAAUUCUUAAUUAGUAAAACAAACAAUUUUUGCCAAAAUUACUGAUCUUCUCAUUGAUCUUUGGCAUAAUUGUGCUCAUUACAUGUUCUUGCACUCUAGAUAUGUGACACCUUAUUUGGUUAUAAAUAUGUUUUGCUGUGCCAAAAGAGACCAAUCUUAGACAUAUAAAAUUAAAUUGGAUGUAGCAUUGCUCUUUUCCAAAUAGUGUGCAACUAACUUAGGCAUCAUACAUGUAAAAAGAAACUUAAUUUGAAGUUUUUAUGAAGAGUAAUAUCAUUAUAUAUUUUAUAUACAAAAUCCCUAUGUUUUCACCAAUCCACAUAUAUAUAAGCCUAUUUUUCCAUUACAUUUUCUUGAUCUCUCUUCAACUUCUUGCAACUUACGUUAUCAAAUUUAAUUCUUGUUGCAAUAAAACCAAAAGGAAUUACAAAGGGAUCGAGCUCAUGACUAGGAAGAACAUAAAACAUUAUAUGCAGUUCAAAUUAAAAGGAAAAAAGUGGCCUAGCCCUUGAAAUUUAUUGUCAAAAUGCCCAAGCACACUUGGAUGCAACAUUUUUAAUAUGCAUGGGCCAUCUAAAAAUCCAUUCAAUCAAGAGAACACCUCACCCGCAAGGCAUGUGGAUUCUAUCCAUCAACCCUAUGUGUUGGUUAGGAGAAAAUUAUUCCCUCGACUUCGUCCGUCACGUCAGCUGUGAACCGCCCAGCUAUCUGCCAUUCAUCGCACCGCUCUUCAUAAGUCGCAACCGUUCGAUGACUGAUGUGGCGGACCAGGUCCGGGUGAUAACUUCGCGUCGGUUAGAGUCUAAGGACACAUGCAAUGCCCCCUUUGAAAGGGCCACUCAGUUCAAAAUGGUCCCUCCUGAGCAGGGUUCUGGAGUUGGAGCUAUUCAAAUGAGUGGUUCUGAUCCCUUGCUUUCAAUGAACAUUGGCUAGAGGACGGGGCAAGUGCAAAACGUAGGCAAAUGUUGCCUCCAUUGCUAGGGUUUUUGUGUCCAAACACCCAUGUGGUGGUGGGGCUAUCCAUGACAUUGGCUACAAAUAGUUGGGUGGAGAGGCCCAUCCACAUUAGUAUUUGAUUUGAUCACUCUCACUUGGAGAGAUCGUCUAUGCGUGGUGCGUUUUUGAGAGAGACAGAGAGAAAGGCAGCAAACUAUUUGCUUCGUUUAUUUUUUUAGAAAUGAGCCGAGCAGCCCGAAAUAUGAAGCAAAUAAACUUUGGAUUUGAAAUCUCGAAUACCGAUCAUCAAGUUCUUAGCCAACUGCGAUAGAUAGUUUGCCUCUCUAGCUCUCUCUACUAUUACUAAUGGACCGGCCAUGUGAUCUCUAUGUAGAAUGUAUGGUACACACCUUAAUUUUCUUAGGUUCUUGGAAAGGUGCUUCUCACCUCCCAUUAAUUGUGAGGAGGCUUCAAAGAAGCAUGAGCACGACAAAAAGGGGGGAGGAGGGAAAAGAAAUUGGAAAGUUAGAUAGGGACAGCAAUGAGGGUCACCUACUUGGUUUGCCCCAAUGAAGAGCAAAUUGUUUUGUGCCAUUGAUUCAUAUCAUGUGUUUGUUGGCUAUUUAUUAUUAACUAAAAGAGGACCAAUUUUUUGGCCUGCGAUAAUAUGCCCAAAAGACUAAAGGUUGAGUUGGGUAAGUCUAAUAAGUUAAGUGCGGCUGCAGUCCACAAUAGACCUAACGGCAAGAGACCCGACCUAGCAUCCAGAUGGUUGAGUUUGGUUAAAGCCCGUGAGGGCUAGCGCGGCUGAACUCUUAAGUGCGAUAAGUUCGCCCUUCUUAUCAGCACGUAUUUUUUGGAUGGUUGGUUUGCGCUUACGAUCCACAGUAUUUUCGUAACAAUCUUAUGCUUAUUUGUAUAAUUUGAAAUAGCCUAGAUAAAUUUUGUGAUCUACUAUUAAUGAUAUCAGACAUUAUUUCUAAAUAGUUUAAAUAGUUUAGAUCAUGUUCAACGAUAUCGAUCAUCGAUGGAAGCUCGAUUAUCAAAAAAAUUUGAUAGUAAUCCGAGUCGUUUAUUAUAUAUUUCAAAUGCUUCAGAUCAAAUCUAACGGAUUCAAUCGUCGAUUUGGAAGUGCUGGCAUCGAAAAUGACUUGAUAACACUGACGUCAUUGUACUUCUAAAAGUACACAUGUUUAGCUCUCUGGCUGGGGUGCUUUUACAAGCACCAAGGUAUUGGUGCUAUAUAAUUUUUGGAGGCUUCAUCGAAAACAACAAAUCGGUAAUAAUACAGUUCGUUUGUUAUCAAUAGUAUUUUAGUCCAACUACAUACAUAUAUACAUAUAUAUCACUAUAUUCUUUGAAGUCGUUAAAAUAGCAAACCGAAAUUUUUAAUCUGCAGCAUAACUGGGCUCGACGAUAUCUGUAAUUGUUAGAAUAGUUCCAGGAAGAGUGAUGCAACAAGUACAUAAAAUGAGUUAAACAUAACCAUAAACAUUUUACUGUCUAAACUUUUUUGUGCAAAGUUCACAUAAGCUAAUUAAAAACAUACAUCAAUUAUCAAAUUUGAACAAUAUAAAGUCAAGGAUCCAAAUAAGUUGAUUCGGUUCGAUUUUACAUAUAAUUCCGUUCGGUUCGACUCUAAAAGUAAAAAACCAAAAGAACUGAAUAAAUCGAAUAGAUCAAAAUUUUAAUAACUCAAUAAGUAUUAAUCUUUAAUUAUAAAAAAAAAAGAAAGAACUUUAAAUACUAUCUAUGUGGUUUCGCACUUUUUCACUUUAGUAUCCUAUGGUUUAAAGUGUAUCAAUUUAGAAUCCUAUGAUUUUAUUUUUCUCUUUUUAUUAUUCAUUACACUAAUUAUUUUUCGUUAAACCAGUGACAAAGUUAAAACUAAAGCGUAUUAAAAUAAAUAUUCGAUAAAUCUAGAUUGGGUAUCUGAAGUUUUUUAUAUACAAUUUAACAAAAUAUUAACAGAGGAGCUGACAAAAGAGAAAAAUGAAACCACAUGGUACUAACUUGAUACACUUUAAACCACAGGAUACUAAAGUGAGAAACGACGAAACCGCAGGGAUGGUAUUUGAAGUUUACCCAAAAAAAUAUGUACUAAUUUUACAUAAUAAUUAAAUAAUUAGAGAUAUUAAUUAUUCUUAUCUUAGAUUAAUAAUUUUCAACAUAAAAUUAGUUAUGAAUAUAUCUUAUUUUUAGUAGGCUAAAAAGAUUUAAACUAAAUGAAGAUAAUUUACUUAAUUAAAUCAAAUAAAUCGAAUCUAACCUUCGGUUCAGUUUGUGCCUCUAAUUCGGUUCAGUCCGAUAUCUUAAAAAACUGUAAAAAUUAAACCGAACCGAACCGAACCGAACCGACCGAUGCUCACCCCUAAGACUAGUGCCAAUCAAUUCACUGAGCUCAUGAAGCUCAUUACACUCAUCUCCUUUUAAGUUCCAAAAACAACAAAUUCUCUAACUACAAUAAAUUUCUUUGAUAUCAUUAUGACAAUGAAAGGGCAAUGAAACUAAUCCCGGACAAAGUGAUGUGGUUCAUUCCCCUCCUCACCUUUUGCCUCUGCAACAAAAUAGUGUUCAAAGUGGGUACAACCCCGUGCGUAAGAUUCGCUACGCACCGGAUUGAUUUUGACGGACUUUAUUAUAAAAUAAUUCUUUAAAAUUUAUAAUUUACGAAAUAAUUCUGCCAAAUUUAUAUUUAGCAAAUUAAUCCUCUUUUCGUCGUGUAGCAACCACGUGGGAUUAUUUUUCGAAAAGCGGUGAAUCGUUUACCGUGUUUUUCCAUGUCUUUUAAAGGCGGUGAAUCGUUACUUGCAUUGUCCAUUUUUUUUAAAAUGCGGUGAAUCAUUCACCGUUGUCUUCUAUUUCUUAGGCUGUUAAAAUUAUAUGAAAUUAUAUGGAUAAAUUAUUAGAAUUUUCAGGCUGUUAAAAUUAUAUGUGAUUUGUUAAAAUUUUUAUGUGAUUGUUAGUAUUAUAUAUGAGAUAUAGAAAGAAACAAUAAAUAAGUGAAAGGUGGUGAAUGAUUCAGCAUCUUUGUGAAAAAUUAAGAAGGCGAUGAAUAAUUCACCGUCUUCAAAAAAAAUCUUCACCCUGGCGCCUACAUACCAAAAGGAAGGUUAGGAUUAUUUUGCAAAUUAUCAAAUUUUAGAGAAUUGUUUUGUAAAAAAAAUCUGAUUCUGAUGCUGAAUUUUAGUAGAAUUAAUCUGCACCGUCUAUAUCGAAUCGUACAGAUUAAUCAUACUAAAAUUCACCAGCUGAACAAACAGAGUUGUAUGAAAUUUAAUAAAAUCUUGCGUGUAUAUUACAAAAGACUCUUUUCUCUCUCUCUCUCUCUCUCUCUCUUAUUUUUCUAAUUAAAUAUAUAAUUGCUGUGCCAAAAAGUACAAUAUAAAAUCUAUCACUUCAUUGAGAGGGAUGUAUCAAGCUUAGAGUCCAACAUCACAUUUAAACACAGGUACUGUGUAGGCUAGGGUGUAUUUGAGCUGUCUUAUUUAACAUGAAAACUCCUUAAAAAGAGCCAUAAAAUAAAAUAUAGGUUAAAUUACAUAAAACUCUCUGUAACUAUUUCACUUUUUAUUUUUUCUUUCGGAGUUUCAAAACUUUAUAUUUUGUCUCUUUAAAAUUGUAAAAAAUAUUUUCAGAGGGUUACCAUAUUAAUAGAGAGGGCAAAAUGAUCAAAUUAUUAUUAUUUUUAUAUAAGAAAAAAAUAAUUUUUAAUAUAUUUUAUUAUUUUAGAGAAUAUUUUCGGUAUAAAUUAUAAAAAAAAAAAGAUAGAAUAGUGAUAGAAUCCUAAGGGAGGAGGCUAAAUGAAAUAACUUGAAAUGUUAAGGUGUAAAAAUGUAGAUUUUUUGAAAAUUUAAGAGAAAAGGUACAAAAAAAAAGAUACUUAUCAAAAAUUUACAAGCAAUAUAUAUAUAUAUAUAUAUAUAUAUAUAUAAUUGAGCUCCUAUGCUUUUAAAAGUACCAAGCACUUGAUACUUGGUACAGCUGGAAUACUAUCGAUAGUAUAAAGUGUUUGGUGCGAGUUUUCCGCCGUUAGAUUUAACCCUUUGAUUAUUUUCAUCCGUUAGAUUAUAUUAUUUAACCAAUAACUCACUUAACCCUAGGGGGACUCACAUUAUUCUAACUGUAUAUUUUCUCAUUCAUAAAUCGAAAACCUAAUAACACUAAUAAUUUGAUGCUAUUAAUAGUAUUCCAGCCUAGUUCUAUAUAUAUAUAGAGUUGGACUGGGCUACUAUUAGUAGCAAAAUUUCAUUAUUGCUAUCAGUUUUUUAGCCUUUGGAUCAACUCUUUUCAUCAUUUCUAACCAUUGGAUUAAAUACUAUAACCCAGUAGGGACCACUCAACCCUAGGGGGACCACUCAACUCUAACUGACUAAUAUCAACCUAACCUUACAAUUUUUUAUCCAAGGGUUAAAAACUUGAUAGCAAAAAAAGUGUUUUACUAGUAAUAGUAUUCCAGCUUAAUUAUAUAUAUAUAUAUAUUAUAACAUAUUGAUUUCUGUUUGUUAUAGAUAUAAUGACAAAUUUCACUUACAAAGUGAUUUUUCUUAUUUCCAAAAAAUAAACUUAUAUACAUAAUGAAUACGCUACUAGUAUCUAUUAUAAACUUAAUUUCGAUGUGGAGACAGGGUCUUAAUGAAUGUACAAAUCAUGUGACCCUGUGUGUGCUUCAUGUCUAGCUAACACAGCACUACUAUUUUGUGGUUCUCAUAUGCUGUGCAAUGAAUUGUUCCUACUUUUUUAAAAAAAAUACUCUUUUCAUUCUUAAUGAGAAUGAAUUAAAUCUUGGUCAAAUAAAGAGGCUUAUUGUGCAUAUUGUAGCAAAAUUCACAUGGGCCUGCAGUGUGUACAGCUACAACAAUAACAUCGUGACAAUGGCAAUAAUAAUAUUAAGUUUAUAUAAUUAAUGCUACUGCUCUGUUCAUUAAGCUAUGAAUUAAUGCAUGAGGGUUUAUUUAUUGUUACUUUGGUGGCUACAUGGGGAAAAGAGAAAAGUAAUUAAAGAACAAAAAGUAUUCAAACAAUCUCUAUGCCCCUUCCUUUUUCAUUUUUUUCUUAAAAACGAACUCUGCUAAAAUUAUAAAGUAAUUGAGUUUCAAACUUAAAAUAUCAUAUACCAGCCAUUAAGUUCUUACUCAAUUUAUAUGGUUGGUGUGUAUAUAUAUAUAUUCGAAAUUGGAGACAUGAUUUUGGUGUGUAUAAUGAAAAAUCUAAGAUGUUUGGGGCUCGUAUUGCUUUAUCGGGAAAUUAGCUUUAUAUGGAUAUUGUGAGAUAGGUUCGAUCGAGAGAUCAAAUUGGCGGUUUGACUUGACUCAAGAUGAAUUUUUCGGCGAGCUUUUAGACAACUAAGCAAAAGAACAACUACUUAACUAGCUAUUACUUUUCUAGCCACCAUUUUACGACAUAAGAAGAGCAAAGUUGAUCGACAGUAGAGAUAUUUUGACGGCUUCAACCAUCAUAUUAUAGUCUUAGAAAGAGAAGCUCUGAAACACAUUCGUGCUAUUCCAAACCUUCUACAGCAUCACUGAAACUCCACCAUUUUACAGUACUAAUAAAUGAGGCCUAAAUACACCGCUCGUAGACAACUUCGAUGGAGAAUGGAGGCCCACUUACUUAUAAGGCCUUGUAUAGUUGCGCUCGCCUUUUUUUUUACUUGAUCAUGCAAAAUUUGAAUAUAUAAAAACUACAUAACCAAAACCAAAUUGGGCUUGCAUUUUAGGGCCUCAUAUGGGCCUAGUAACCAAAAUUUGGGCCAAAAGCCGACCCACAACGAAGCCCAUUAUGAUGGGCUUAACUAACCAAACAUUUUUUUAUGUGGUAGAUGAACCAACGAAGUAGUUGCUGCUAACACUAUUUCUGAGUCAUUUCUCGCAUAAUUGAUUUUUCAGAAAAUGUGGUCUUAGUGCAGAUCCUAGUCCUAAGCUCCCAACAUCAAUUUUUCUUUUUUUUUAAUUUGAUUAGAAUGAACAAUUUUGCGCUAAGUAAUAAAGCAAAGUGACAGCUAAAGAUAGUCGCAAAAGAUCAUUAAGUUACAUAUAAAGGUGGUUGAACCAAAUAUAUUGUGAGAUCAUAUAGAAAAUCAAAAAUUUUGUGGUGAUAUGCAUUGUGUAAACACCCUAUACUUGGUUUUUUCACAGUAAAAAAUAAAUAAAUAAAAUGUGAGUUGCACAUGAGCUACAAGUCUUUUGAGAUCAAUGCCUGUCCCUUAGAGGAAGUUCAUGGUUUCUAAAGGGCUCAAACCAAUCCAUAACUCAAGCUCAUGGUUUGGUUUGAGUCCUUAAUAAAAGUUUAGAAUGACAUCUAAGCUUGGUUAACACUUUCGUCUAUUUUCAAACUCAAUUGCUUCCCUUUCAGCGCUAUGUCAGUCCAGUUUUAUUCGGUUCUUGUCCGUUUCUUCUUAAGGUCAUAUCUAAAUGUCGGAAUAACUUAUUCCGUAUAUAUAAAAAAGAAAAUCAAUAUGAUUGAAAGGAGCCCCGGCUACUAUACUCUUAUGAGUACGAUCAUCUUUAUACUCAUGAGUUGUUUUUUGUGAUAGAGCUUCCGAAUCGACGAUCCAUUCCGUUAAACAUUAUCUAGAGUAUUUAAAACUUCUAGAAAUCAAAUUUUAUAAUUUUUCGAUAUCAUUUGCCUUACGAUCAAAAGCUCACAAAAUUGACAAUUUUUAACGACCAGUGUGGAAUAUUUGCUAGUUUAACAAUGUAAAAGAAUCGGAAUAGAUUGAAUAUUUGAUAGAAAAUUCUAUUCACUACCUAAAUAAAGAUUAAUAACCCCGAUCUUAAAUUGAAGGAUCUGAUUAUCUAUUCUUAGGAGGUCGUUCGAUUUUGACCGUUCAUUUUAUACCCGCUUGAUGGGCUUUAUAAUGAUUUCAAAAAUUUACGAAAUUUAUUUUCUAAAAGUUUCAAAUAUUCUAGAUUAUAUUUAACAGUGUGGAUCGUCGAUUCGAAAACCCCAACAUCAAAAAUAACUUAUGAGUACAAAGGACUCUAUACUAAUAAAAGUAUAAUAGUCCUACUCGAUUGAAAGUAAGAAGUUUAAGUUUUACUUUUUUAAAAACCUUGUUAUUUAUAAUUUGAUAGGAUAGUAUAUUAAUAGGAUAGUAUAUUUCACCUAUAAGGUAUUUUUUCUUUUUCGAAAAACUAACUUAAAUGCCGAAUUGAUCACAAUCCUUAUUAAUCAAAUAUACAAAUUUCUCAAAAGAAUUAAGAAGAUAUAUCGAAAAACAUAUUCAUGCAUUCCGACGGAGCCUAGUUCUUACAUAACCACACUGAGCUUGUCUAGCAUGUCAAUAAGGCCUAGAACACCAUAAAAAGAAUAUUAGUACCGAUUAAAAACGAAAAUAAGUGUGAGACGUACCUCAGAUAGUUCUAUAUAUAAAUAUAAUAUAAUAUAAUAGAGCUACAUUUUUAACUUGGCUUAAGUAUUUUGGGUGAUAAUUAGGGUCAAGAGGUUAAGAGAGUUAAGCGUAUUAGGAGCAUAGUAGUCCUAGCUAUGAUGGAUAACUUCCUAGAAAGUUGGGGCGUCACAGUUGGUAUCAGAACCAAUUACCAGCCGGAAGUGUGAGAUGAGUCUCGGCUGAGUUAGGAAGACUAGCAAGAGGAGUCUCAAAUCGCCUGAUACUUGUGAGUCUGAGCCUGACGAGAACGUCAGGAUUUAAAGGAAGGGAGAUUGUGAGACCCCAGAUAAUUCUAUAUAUAAGAUAUAAUAGGGCUAAACUCUUAAUCCUACUCAAGCAUUUUGGGUAGUAGCUAGGUUUAAGAGAUUAAGAGAGUUAAGCGUGUUAGGGCGAAAGUAGUCUAAAAUUAGGGCGUCACAGUCAGUCUCUCCUGUGGUCCUUCUUGUGCAGAUUUUAAGAUAGCAAGCAUUACUGGCACAAUUAUGUGUUCUUGAAAUGUGUCGGAGCACCAUGCAUGAUACCUGAUCAACAAGCAUUUAUUGGAGAUUAGGAUCCAUCCCAUCGACUCGGUCCACCGCAUAAUAUUGCUCUUACUGGUUGCUGACGCUCGAUGUACAUAACAUAAAAGAUUUUAAUCCGUUAAACCGCACACAGAUAUAUAUGUUAUAUAUGAUUGCUCGCACAUUAGUGGCCUUAUGUUAAGAGUUUACACAUAAAUUCUCCCCGCAUCAGAUAAUCAUAAAAGUACUAGAGGAUAUAAAUCUAAUAGACAUAAAGCUUUUAGAUUGAAUGAGUUUUACUAGAUAUAUAGCAUCUUUGGACUCAAUGUGGGACUUGGGAGUCCCACACUGAACCACCGUGCAUGAGUGAGUAGUCCUUCGUCUUCACUCCUUUAAUGGAGCUACUGCCGACAUGCAUGUUCAAAUUGAAUGCGGAUGCUGAGAACCAAUUCAGAGGUACAAAAACAAUAACUUUUUUUAAAAAAAGUUAUUGUCCGGCGCAUCUAAUUCAGAUACAAUUUAUUUGAAUCUCAAAAUAGCAUUUAUGCUAUUCAACGGUAGUGAGAGUUGCGUCUAACCAUUUUUUUUUCUCUCAAUUCUAAGCCAACAUGUGGCACAUCUUCUUUACUGGAUGUUAAUAAGCUCGAUUAAGUUCUUAAUGAGCCCACCAGUUAGAUCUUAUAUCUUAUUAACCAUUAACAACCUCAAAGUUCUAAAUUGGAUCACGUAGUAUUCGUGUUGAUUAAUCUAGUCUAACAGAGCUGAUCGUCGAUUUAGAAGCCGCAUCAUUGAAAACAACUUGGUAAUGCGGAGGUCUCAAUACUACCGAUAGCAUACCAGUCUAGCUCUCUCUCUCUCUCUCUCUCUCUCUCUCUCUCUCUCUUUAUAUAUAUAGAGAGAGAGAGAGAGUUGAGUUGGAAUACUAUCGGUAGCAAACGGACUCCUUUGCCACCCAUUUGUUUUCGAUGAUGGAGCCUUCAAAUCGACGAUCUACACCGUUGAACAUGAUCUAUACCCCUUAAAGUAUCUAGAAACUAAAUUACAAAUCUUUUCAACAUCAUUUACCUAAUAAUCAACGGGUUUCAAAUUUUAUAAUUUUAGUGGUAAAUAUAAGGCGUUUUCUCAUUUAACGGUAUAAACUUAUCCAAAUCAAUUGAAUUUUGGUUAGAAAAUUCUUUAAACUAUUUAGAACAAGAUCUAUACUAUCGAUCUUAAUUAUAAAAUUUCUAUCCUCUCUUUUUAGAGGAUAUUUAUUUUCAGCCGUUCAUUUUUACGCCCACUUGAUGGAUAAGAGAACAAUAUAGAAAAAGUAUGAAAUUUGAAUUCUAGAUACUUCAAAUGGUAUAGAUUAUUUUCAACGGUGCCGAUCGUCGAUUUGGAGGUUCCAUCAUCGAAAACAAAUGGGUGGAAACGGAGCCUGUUUGCUACCGAUAGUAUUGCAGCUCAACUCUCUCUCUCUCUCUCUCUCUCUCUAUAUAUAUAUAUAUAUAUAUAUAUGCUACUAUACUAUCGAUAGUACCAAGUGAUUAGUGCUAUCGACUUUUCAGUCGUUGGAUGAAAUGAUGUGCAGUUAAGAUGAUUGCGAUCCCUUAGGGUCGACUUUUCAGUCGUUGGAUGAAAUGAUGUGCGGUUAAGAUGAUUGCGAUCCCUUAGGGUUGAGUGGGUGAUUAGUUGAAUAGUAUAAUCUAACGGAUGAAAAUGAUCAAAGGAUAGAUGUAAUGGCAGAAAAAUCGAUAGUACUAAGAGUUUGGUACUAUCGAUAGUAUAGCAGUAGUACUCUAUAUAUUAUGAUUAAAUGGUAGAUUUAACGAUAGAAAAUUCGAUAGUGCCGCUUUUAAUACUAUCGAAUUUUUUACCAUUAUAUCUACCAUUUAAUCAUUUUUAUCAAUUAAAUUAUACUAUUCAAUCAACUGCUCACUCUUUUGGAUGCAAUUUACGAGAAGCUAUAAAUGGGGGGAAGUGAGGUGGAAGUAGGCUUAUCCUACACUCCUGGCCCAUGCUCAUUUAUGGUCGCAAUAAAUUUUGUAGCAGAUUGUCAGAUUAAUCAGUCUCCUACGUACUAUUCUCUGCAUUUUAUUUAACUCAGGUGAGACCAUACAUCAAUCUAGUAAGAAAUAAUUCUGAGACAAUAAAAAUACAAUAAACAAUCUAACUCGAUACCUCUAGAUCAAUCUAGUAAAAAAAAAUUCCGAAGCAAUAGAACUACAGCAAAUAUUCAAACUGGAAACCUCUUGAAACAGGAGGAACUAACAACUGCUGCCUAUGUUACCAUAUUAAUUGCUCAAGAAAUUGAUCUGAUAUAAAAAUAAUUCAGAAUUAGUUUUAACCGAAGUGGUUGAUAAGAACGUAAAUAUGAAUAGUUUUACGUCAAAUAAUGAUUCAAAUGCACUAGGAGAUCCAAAUUUAAUAAAAUUUAAUGUCAGGACUUAGAAAUUUUUUUUAAGAUUUGUCUUUGUAAUCACUCAAAUUUCAAACCAGAUAUCUAUUGAAGAUUUUGCCUUGAUCUUCUAAAAGCAUCUCUGUGAAUUUCGGAAAGCUCGUAGCCUUUCUUUUUCGCUUGUAUUUUCAUGCCGCUUGACAUCUUUCUGUUUCCUUUAUGAGCGGUGAUUGAUCUUUAAAUAAAUGUGGCUCCACCCCCUCUCAAUUCAAAAUCUUGAUUUGUAAUCCUCUACUUUUUUCUUUUUUUGAGAGAGAGAGACAGGUGGCACGCUACCUCCGCUUCAUUUAUUUCAUUUAGAAAUAAACUUAGCUAGAAAUGUAAAUCAAUUAGAAUUCGAACUUGGGACCUCGAGUACCAAUCAUCAAGCCCUUACCACUUGCGCUAGGAACGGUCGGUGUAAUCCUCUACUUCAAAGUAAUAAAAGAACUUUUUUUUCUCUCUCUCUCUCUUGUUCUUAUUUAAGAACGAAUAGAUCCUAACUUAGCAAGUAUAGAGAUAAGUUUGCUCACUUUACGAAAAAAGGCGAGCAUCGCACGGACUGAACAAGCGAUUUAGCUUAAGUCCAUGACAUUAAACUCUAUAUUGAAUGGUAUUAGAGUUGGUGGUGUGGUCCGAUCUGAGUUAACCAGGUUCAAAUUGAACAUGUUUUUGAGCUAACAUUUUAGGCAACACACCUGUCACAUUUUUGCUCUUCAAUUAGUAGUUAAACGCAUUAAUAUUUUAGGUAACACACACUUCUCAGUUCUCACUUAGCUCUUCCAUAAAUUGGUGGUAGCUACACUCACUUAUUGCUCUUCCAACCUGUUCCUCUCCAGUAAUAUUCAUUCGCUCUUUUGCUACGUUUCCCUGUAGAUCCAUGUGACCAUGUCACUCAAUACUUGGUCCCAAUUCGACUACGUACUCCAAAACUGUACCUAACGCAGUCGGCUAAAAAUUUUAAUGAUCGGUAUCUGAGAUCUUAAGUUAAAAUUCUAAUUGUUUUAUGUUUCUAGCUCAGUUCGUUCUUAAAAAUGAACGAAAUUGAUAGGUUACUACUGUCUUUCUUUCUCGUGAAAGAAAAUUCGUGCAUGAAAUAUCUGAUUUCUCAAAAAAAGUAUAGAAAAUUAUUUUCUCGACAUUAUAUAUUUUUUUUGUUCCUUGGAUACAAAGUUAAAAAAUGAAAUAAUAUCUAGAAUUUUUUUAAAAAAUAAUUUUUAAAAAAAUGAAAAAGAGGAAAAAUAUGGUUUCAUUCAAAAAAGUUAUAUUUUACAGUAUUUUUGGAAAAAUAAACACUCCGUAACUAUGCAUCAAUUAAUGCACUGCACACACCACGAAUCCCUUGUCCCCAACUCCCAACUACUUUUCGUCCUUCUUUAAAAAUAGGGUGUUCACAUAACAUUUAUUUUCACACACUAGAGAAUUUAGAAAUUUCAAAAAUGUUUUUUAAGUUUUUUUUUUAAAAUCUUUUAGUAACUUUAAAAUGAUAGGUAGAUUUAUCAUUAGAAAAGUAUUAGGUUCAAAUACUUAUCUCGAUCAAAUUUUUAUUAUUAUUAUUAUUUUAUAAUAUUAGAUGAGAGGAAAUUAAUGUAAAGUGUUUUAAUUAAUUCUAUGUCGUAAGCAUUUUGAACAAUGCAUUCGCAAAUUAAGCUGUAUAUUUCUACUCAGAUAGUUUAAAAAUGAUCUGAAUAAGUCUUAUGUUAGAGAUGAAUAAAUCAUAUCAUGUGUAAUAAAGAUAUAAAUAAUCAACGUGACGCGUAUUAUAUGACAUAGAUUUCGGCUAAGACAAAGAGUGCACUAAUUAAUUAACAAACUAUUACCUAAAUCAGAUCUCAAACUAACUUGGAUUGUAAAUGCGGAUCAGUUGUAGAAUCAAUUUUUUUACUAAUCGGAUCGCAAAUUUACAUUAGUUAGAAGAGUAGUAAGAGAAUUUAAAAAAAGUACGAAAAAUAAUAUAUAUAUAUAUAUAUAUAUAUAUAUAUAUAUAUAUAUAUAUAUAUAUAUAUAUAUAUAUAUGAGAGCCUUCGCGGAAUGAUUUGUUAGGAGUUGAGCUAGAAUACUAUCGGUAGUAAACGAGCCGUUUUAUUACCGAUUUGUUUUCGAUGAUAGAGCUUCAAAAUUGACGAUCGGCUCCGUUAAAUAUGAUCUAAACCAUUUAAACUACCUAGAAAUCAAAUUUCACGCACUUUUGAUAUUGUUCUUUUAUCCAUCAAGUGAAUAGAAAAAUAAAUGACUGAAAAUAAAUACUCUUUAAAAAAUGAUGAUAGGAGUCUUGUAAUUAAGAUCAAGAGUAUAGAUCUUGUUUUAAAUAGUUUAAAGAAUUUUCUAACAAAAAUUCAAUUAAUUUGGAUAUCUUUAUGCCGGUAAAUAAGAAAACGCCUCUUAUCGACCAUUAAAAUUACAAAUUUUGAAACCCUUUGAUCAUUAGACAAAUGAUGUCGAAAAGAUUUGAAAUUUAAUUUCUAAACAUUUCAAGUGGUAUAGAUCAUGUUCAACGGAGCCGAUCGUCAAUUUGAAAGCUCUAUCAUCGAAAAUAAAUCGGUCGUAAAACGGCUCGUUUACUACCGAUAGUAUUCUAGCUCAACUCGAUAUGUUAGUGUAUAUAUGCUUUUCACGUGAGGUGAAAUAUAAGGCGCUGUCACUUUUUUAGUUUUUUUUUUAAUUUUAAUUUUUGUAUAAUUUGAUAUAUGGAAUAAAUUUUUUCUCUUAUUAUUAUUAUUAUUAUUAUUAUUAUUGGUUAGGUUACUAAGCGCUCUGUCCAAGUGAAAGUGAUAACUUAUUUAAAAACUAUUUUAGAAGUAGAAAAAAAUUAUUUUUAAAUUUUUAUUUUUUAUUGUCGAAUAAAUAUUUUAGAUUUAACAAUUGCAAGUAAUCCACCACCCCCUUCUACGUUAUUUCAUGAAGAAAUUCCAUUGAAAAAAUGGCAAUGAUGCGAGACGAGGCCUAAAGAAGGGCAGAAGCAAAAAAAAAUAUAUAUAUAUAUAUAUAUUUUUCUAUUUUCUGACAUGAAUAUAUAUAUAUAAAAAGUAUAUAGUAACAAAUUCAUUGCAAUUGACACUGCAUAAUAUAUUUACAUAAAGACAUGUGUAAUGUAUUUCAACAAUCAAAGCAGAAGCUAACUCUGAUUCCAUAUUAUUUAUAAUACAAUUUUAAUAAAAAAUAAUAAUUCAGAAAUAAUUUUAGCCUUCGUUUGAAAUUACGAAGAGAUUGCAUGACUACAUACAAUAAAAAAGUAUGAAAAAAAAAUUAAAUAUUUAUUUUUAGGAAUAAUUGUCUAUAUACCCCUCAAAACUUCAGAAAUAUCUCGUUUAACUCUACUUUUUUUUUUCUUUCCAAUAUAUCCCUUAUAUAUUCCUCCGUUAUUCCAAAAUAUCCCCGCAGUUAUCACCUGUUAAGUUAACUUGGGUUAAACGUGGGUUAAAUAUCUACCACAGUUAAAAAAAAUUAAAAUACCACUUUUGUCCUUAACUUAAAGUCAAAUAAGAAAUGUUGGUGAAUAUGGUAGAAGUAUAUAUUUGAAAAGAUUAAAAAGUAAAAUACUUUUUAUGCCCCUAACUUAAGGACAAAUAAGGAAAGUCGGUGCUGGUAGAAGGAUAUAUUUAAAAGGGCAAAAUAGUAAUUUCAUAGAGAUAACAGAGUUCAUUAACCGAUCUUAACUCUAGGGAUAUAUUUGAAAUAGAUUGGAACGUAAAAAAUAUAUUUUCAAUAUUAGCCUUCUAAAAAAGAUAAAUCAGAAAGUCGAAAAGAUAUUUUUCGAGAUAUAAGUAAUUGCCCCUUAUUUUUAUUACAUAAUAUCAUAUUUUAUAUAUCAUAAUGAAUCAGGUAUAAUAUUUUUUUUUCUCUCAUUAAAAAGAAUAAAAAUAACACUUUUAUACACUUUCAUCUAAAUUUCGUUUUACCUGUUGGCAUUACAUUUUGCCUCCGUAACAAGCAAGAUAUUAAUUGCAUAUAUAACUCCCAACCCCAUCCAUCAAAGCUAAGCCUCUAUAUAAACCCCUCACACCAUCACUACGACACUCCACUGAGCAACACUACUACUACUACUAUUAUUACUACUACUACUACUACUACACAAACUAAACACUUCCUCCCUCUCUAUAAAAUGUCCGGCCGCUCUUCCGCACCGCUUACGGCCGCGGCGCUGCUGCUGGGCGUGCUGCUGCUGGCAGCGCCGGCGGCGGAGGCGCUGACGUGCGGGCAGGUGGUGUCGUUCAUCUCGCAGUGCCUGCAGUACGCGCGAGGCCCGGGCACCAGCCCGCCGCCCGCGGCCUGCUGCAGCGGCGUGAAAGGGCUGAACAACGCCGCGCAGUCGACGCCCGACCGGCAGACCGCCUGCAACUGCCUGAAGAAAGCCGCCGGAACGGUCACCGGGCUGAAGGCCGGCCUCGUCGCCGGCAUCCCCCAACAGUGCGGGGUCAACGUCCCCUACGCCAUCAGCACCUCCACCGACUGCUCUAAGUAAGAACACAUACAUGUCAUCCGCUUAUGAGUCAGUUUUGUACGCAUGACAAAUUUACUGUCUAAAGAAUGAACUUUUCAUUGAACGACGAGUACUAAUUAAAGAUGUGGUCGGUACCAUAGAAAAUGAACUCAAAAAUAUAUUUAACAAAAUUUAUAAAAAAAAUAUACUUAAAAAUUAGGUAUAAAUUUGUUGGCCACUCCAGAUUUUGAAAUUAUAUACCUGAGAUUUUAGUUAGAAAUUCUCAUACUUAGUUGCAGGGAUUGCAAUGUUACGGAGAUCUAUCUAACACUUUCUUUUUUGUUUUUUGUCUUUUUUUGCUAAUUUUAAUGCAGGGUGCGCUAAGUUUAAAGCAAGGGGGAGGUGGUCAUGAGUUAGGAGGAGUAACUAAGAAUAAUAAGGUGGAGAGAGCUCUUUUGGAACACCUUUGAUGCGUGUCACGUUGUGUUCAUGGGCUCCUAAAUUAUCCAACUUUUUUAUAUCCAUGCAUGUGUCAAUGUUUGUCUCUCUUUCCUCAAGCUAUACAUCCUUAGUGGGCUUGGGUUUUGUAGCACUUGUUUCCUGUUUAUGAUGUGAUCAAAGACAUGUUCUACUUAUUUGAAUGGUUUACAUCUAGUCUAUACUUUAUGUCUAUACUUUAUGAUUGUGUUUAUACUUUAUGAUUGUGUUUGGUUGAAAAUGUGAAUCGUAAUCAGCAUAAAAUUAAAAUGGACUAUAAUAAAAACAAAGCGGUACGUAGUAUAUAUAUGCUGCAAUACUAUCGAUAAGAUCCAAUUUGCUUAAUGGAAUCGAACUGUUGGAUAAAAGGAUGUGUGGUUAGGAUGAUAGUGAUCAAUUUUUUAGAGUUAAGUGCGUAGUUGGUUGGUUGAAUAGUAUAAUCUAACGAGUAAAAAUGAUCAAAGAAUAGAUCUAAUGGCAGAAGACUCGAUAAUACCAAAAGCUUGGUACCAUCGAUAGUGUAGUAGCCGGACUCCGGACUCUCUCUCUCUCUCUAUAUAUAUAUACAAAAAUCAUAAUUUUAAAGUGUAAUCAAUUUAAACAAAUGAAGCCUAUUUGAGAAGAAGCUUAAAUGGGCACAAAUCAUCAUGAACACUUCAUACUUGAUAUAUUGAAGGUUUGCUGAAAGUAUUUUCUUAAAAACAUAUAUAUGCCAUGUUUGAAUCACAAAACAGACAUCUUUUUUUUUAAAAAAAUAAACUUUCUUGAAAUUGUGAAGUAACUAGAUUUCGAAUUAUUAGGAACAAGCACACCGAGAUCUUUCUUUGUUUUUAAUUCUUGAAAAUAAACUCGAUUACUAACCAUAAAGCCUUCUAAUGGAACAAGCACACAUAGAUCUUUUUUGUUUUUAAGAGGCCCAUGAGCCAAGUUAAGUUGUGAACUUCAAAAACCUUGGGAUCGUAUAAUUCAUAGCAUCUAUUCGGUGCUCGAAUGCUCGAAUUAGGAUGUUAAUUAGGUUUUCCAUAUUUUCUGCUGCUAGUACAAGUGGUAGGAACAAAUGAUACCUGAUUACUCGAAUCCCAUUGGUUUUGGGUUUGAAUUCAUGAUGUUUUCUACUUUACCGUGUAUAGACUACAGAGCAUGCGCAUGCUUUAAAACUACCUCUUGAUUUUUUUUUUUUUUUUUUUUUAAGAAAUAGAUAGCACGCUACCCGCUUCGUUUAUUUCAUUUAGAAAUAAACUUAGCUGAAAAUGUGAAACAACUAGGAUUCGAAUUUGGGUCUUAGGUACCAACCACCCAGCCCUUUACCACUUGCUCUAAGGACGAUCGGUUGAAUUCAUGAUGCUGCCCUUCGAAUUUUGUUUUCUCUGUACCUUGCCGCAUACGAUUGUUUCCAAAGAACAACAAAACAUAACUUAUGAAACUUAUAUAAAAUAUAAUCCACUUUGAAAGGAAUAGAUAAUGUAUAUUUGUUAAGUUUGCUAUUUAAUCUUUUAAUUUAUAUGAUUUUAGCUAUUGGAUGGCUUUUUUUGUUAUUGUGUUUUGACGCUUUACUUAUUUUAGCGGAUCACUUGAUUAAUUUAAAUAUCUCAGUGAUUCACAUGACUACACGCUUGUUAAAGCAAGCCAAACUGUGAAUUCUAAGGCCAUGUUUGGUUGGGGAACAAGGGUGGGGAUAAGGGGUUAUCCCCCCCUUGUUCCCCAAACACUAUUUUUAAAGGUGGGAACUAGCUAUUCCCACCCUUAACGGGUUAUCCUAGGAUAACCCGUUAAGGGUGGGAAUAGCUAGUUUCCCACCCUUAGGUGGAAUAGGGUGGGAACAAGUUGUUCCACCCUUAUUUUUAAAAAAAUAAAAAUUAAAAAUUUUAAUUUUAAUUUUAGUUUUAAAAUUAUAAUUGGUAAUUCAAAAUUCAAGUUUAUAGUUUUAAAUUUUAAAUUUAAAUUUUAAAUUUUAAUUAAAUUUUAUAUUUUUUAAUAUAAAUUUGAUAUUUAUAUUUUAAAAUUUAAUUUGAUCUUAAAUUUUAAAUUUUAAAAUUAAAAUUUUAAUUUUUGAAUUUAAAAAAAAGUAUUUUUAGGAUCACCCUGCUUGUUCCACCCAUGAAGAGAGAGAGAGAGAGAGAGAGAGAAUUUAAUUUAUUAUAAAAUUUAAAUUAUAAAUUCAAAAAUUAAAAUUUAUAAUUUUAAAAUUACAAAAUUAAAAAUUUAAAUUUUAAAUUGUUUAAUUUAAAAUUUAAAAUUUUGAUAUUUAAAUUUUUUUUAUAUUUAGAAUUUGAUAUGUUAUUUUUUAAAUUAAAAUUUCAUCUUAAAUUUAAUGUUCAAACUUUAAAAAAUUAAUUUUUUAAAAUUAUAAAUUUGAGAUUUUAAAAUUUAAAAUUUUAAUUUUAAUUUUUAAAUUAAAAGUUUAUAUUUUAACUUUUAAAAUAUAAAUAUAAAAUAUAAAAGUUUAAAUUCUAAUAUAAAGAAAAAGAUAAUAUCAUUAUUUUUUAUUUUUAACUACCAACUUUAAUUCUUAUCCCAUCUUACCUAACCAAACGCUAUUUUUCUUAUUCCCAGCAAUAACUCAAUUUUCAUCCAAACACAAAAUUGAUCUAAUUCUCGCUUAUACCUCAAUUUAUACCUAUCCCUGGAAUACCCACUUUUUGCUUAUCCCCGAACCAAACGAUACCUAAAAGUUUUAGUUUUAGUAUCUCAUCUUCUAAAUUAUUUUUAUUUAAGUUAUUUGGUAGUUUCUCAAUUAUUAAUAUUUGGACGCACCCUUCAUUUUGAUGUGAACAUACGCAUGCAAUAGUAUAUUCUAAUCAAAUACGUUGGAAAAAAGAAUACCUCCAAAUAGUAAAGUUGAAAGAAAGAUGAUCAAAUUACUCAAAUUAAUAAAUCAAAAGGAAUUGAGCUAUAGAAACACCAACCUUUCAAUACUUCAAUUUAGUUUAUUCUAUAAUGGCAUCUCGUAAGUUAUGAUCUUCAUCUCAUAAACUUUUUAGAAAAUAAAUUUUAUAUUGUUUGAUAUUAUUUAUCUAGUGAUUAAGCGGUCUCAAAUACAUCUUUUAUAUGCUGAUGAAAUUUAUUGACUCUGAGACUAUUUGAAUAAAUAGUAAAUAAUGUCGAAAAAUUACGAAAUCUUAUCUUUAAAAGUUCGUAGCAUGUAAAUCAUGUUCAAUAGUGUUGAUCAUUAAUCCGGAAGCCUUAUCAUCGAAUACAACGUAAAAACACUAAGGAGUUGGUACUUAAACCAUUCUGGCCAAACUCAAUUAAUUAAAAAAUAAUAUCAAAAAUAAAAUAUUUAAAUACUCAGAUAGUGGAAUCAAAAUAUGUUAUAAUUCAUAAUAUAAUUUUAAGUUUUUUUUUUUUGAGAAAUAGAUAGCAUGCUAGCCGCUUCGUUUAUUUUAUUUAUUUAAAAAUAAACUUAGCUAGAAAUAUGAAUCAACUAGAAUUCGAACUAGAGACCUCGGGUACCAACCACCAAAUCCUUUGCCACUUGCUCUAGGGACAAUCGGUGUAAUUUUUAAAGUUUUAAAAAAGAGAAAUGCUACUUCUAUACAACAAUUAAAGUAGGAUUAAAUCUUACAUCCAUCCAUCCAUCCAAGAGCUUAGACACUUCUUUUAGACCUUUAAUAUUAAAAAAAUAAUAAUAAGUAUAAAAUUAUUGGCCUUUUGAUGAUAGAGUAUAAAAUCUACGCUUAUUUUUUCAAAAAAAAAGCCUUGAUAAUUAAGACAAAAGAAACACCUAUAAGAAAUUAAGAAGAUUAUAAGCCCACCAAUUUGACCCUUUAAAUACGGCACAGAAUAAUCCAAACCGUGUUGUAGCUGUUGCUGAUGCUCGAAGCUUAUAGCUACGCACGUAAAGGGCUCAUCAGCACGGUAUCCAUAUAUUAAAUGCAUCUUUGUAUCACGGACGUGACUAUAGACUUUGCAUUUCGUGUUCGACAGUCAUGUGCCCGUGUGUCAGACUCAUGUCCGACAUGAAUGCAACAUCGACGCAGGGCGCAUCCCACGAUCACGAUGGGUGCGAAUGUUGGGAAUCGGGUACUCGUCCCGAUAGCGAAUUUUGAGUAUUCAUAAUCCGCUCCGGUAUGAACUGCUGUGAAUUCGGUAUCGAUUGCUGGAAUUUCGCAACGGAAGCGUCGAAUCAAAUUUUUUACUAUAAACCCGUCUCUUCAGCAAAAGCUGAUACAAUCACAAAGAGAAAAAAAAAACAACCAAACAGAAAAUAUAUAUCUGAAUCCUAAUAUAUUUAGACGGGUUAAUUUCAUACAGGUCCCUGCAAACAUGGUGAAUAGCAGAUAUAUUCCUAUAAAAUUCGACUUUUAUAAGUUAUUCCUAUAAAAGUCUUAAUAUAUUCAGAUAUGUCCCUGCCGGUAAGAUUCGUUAGAGAAAACUAGUUAAUCACAAUUAAAUACUAAAGUAUGGUUAAUUAAUAAUGCGAAUUGACAAUUUUGUCAUUCUUCUUCUUCCUCUUCUUCUUCCUCUUCCUCUCUUGCUUCUUCUGCUUCAUCUUCUUCUUCAUCCUUUUCCUCUUCUUCCUCUCCUGCUUCUUGUUUUUUCUUUUCUUUUUCGUAUCCUCAUUUUCCUCCUCCUUUUCUCCUCCUCCUUCUUCUUCUUCAUCGCCGUCAUCGAUGAUCCGAUCGUCGUCGCCGUCGUGGUGCCUACGCCGGCUGUCAUCACGGGCGCCUCCGAAAGCAUCGGCCACGCCUUUGCCUUCCGCAUCUUCCUUGUCCUCGUUGGCUGCAACCCGAACAAGCUCCACAAGGUUGCCGUCGCCACCACUGCUGCCACCGUCUGCUCCCACAACCUGAAGAGGAAGAGGAAGAGGGCAAGGGCAAAAUUAUCAUUUUACAACUCUACUGCUAAAAAAUUAACAGUUCUCUAACGGAUCCUAACCAUAGGGACAUAUUUGAAAAUAUUAAGACUUUUGUAGGAAUAUGAUCUGAAAGUUGAAUUUUGCAGGAAUAUAUCUGCAAUUUACUAUAUUUGCGAGAAUCUAUAUGAAAUUAAUCCUAUUAGAAUUCCUAUUCCAAUAAAUAUUUAAAUUUUAAUUGAUUUAUCUCCAAAAGAUUUAAAUAUUUAUCCUAAUCUAGUUAGAUUCCUACUCUAAUUAAUAUUUAAAUUUUAAUUUAUCUCCAACAGAUUUAAAUAUUAAUUCUUAUCUAACUAGAAUUAAUCUAUAAAUAUAAUCAAAUCCUAACAACGACUACAAAAUCAAAUAGAAGUGUAAAGACAAUUAAGGGUCCAGCUAUGAAAAAAUUUUAGAAUGCAACGGGGAUAUUGGUGACGUGGCGUAACAAACCAAUCAAAAAUUUGCUUUUACAGACAUAUGUCUCAUCAUGAUUAUAAAAAAAAAUGUUUAUUGUACUUUUGUUUGAAAAGAAGAAAGAUGAUUGGCCAGUUAUUGAUGACGUGGUGUAAGUAUAAUAGUGUAGAAUUCCUCCCAUCUAGGAUGCUUCUCAGAAGUUGCUAUUUAUAGUUUUUAAAUUUUUAGAUUUAUAAUAAAAUUACUACCAAAUAGUAAAUCCAAAUAAUCCAAAAGCUAAAUAGUUAAAAAAUAUAACCAAAUGCAUUCCAACUCAAUACAGGAUAAUAAUAUUCCUAUCACUCAUAAGAUAACAAUAAUCCCCAACCAAAUUGGACCAAAAAAAGACUUUUGUGCAGUCAUUUUUAAAAACUAAAAAACAAAAAACAAAGACUUAUGUUGACUAUUUAAUUUCAACCACAUUAUCGUGUAGUUGGAAUUUUUGGUAUCAANCAAAAAAAAAAAAAAAGAAAAAAAAAAAGAAGCAAAGUUUUUUUUUUUCUAUGUCAUAUACACUUUGCAAUUUAUAUUCGUGAGUUUAAUCACUUCUAGCUUAAUUAUGUAUUACACACCACUUGUUAAAUUCAUGAUCUUCAAAUCUAUUUCGUUGGACACUCCAUUUUUUCGACUUUAAUGAGCUCCGGUAGUUGAAAUUGUUACCCAAAACAUUGACCAAAAAAUAGCAAAAUAUAUAUAUUUAAUUAUUAAUAUACACUGCUUCGAAUUAGCAUAUGUGACAAUAUUUAAUUUGUAAAGAAGUGUAAAUUAUGAGAAAAUUAAGUGAUCAAGCAAUUACAAUGCUACUUCAAUACCAAAAAGUGGGGUUAAAUCUUACAUCCAUGUACAUCCAGAAGCUUAGACACUUCUUUUAGACCUUUAAUAUUUUUUUUAAAAAAUUAAUAACUAUAAAAUUAUUGGCCUUUGGAUGAUAGAGUAUAAAAUCUAUGUUUUUGUUUGAAUGUACAACAGAAUUACUCUUUUAAAAUAGUUCACUUUGCCCCCUCGUAGUAUAGUGUAUUUUUACUUUACCAUUAGGUGGUUCAAAAAAUUAUAUUUCACUAUUUUGUGGUUUAGCAUGCUUUCACUUUACCGCCCCGUAAUUCAAAAAGAUUAUAUUUAAUUAUUCUAUAUUUUUAUUUUUAUUUUUUUUAAAAAAAAAGCUUUGAUAAUUAAGACAAAAGGAACACCUAUAAAAAAAGUUUUUUUUUUUUUUUGAGAGAUAGGUAGCACGCUACCCGCUUCGUUUAUUUCAUUUAGAAAUAAACUUAGCUGAAAAUGUGAAUCAAUUAGGAUUCGAACUUAGAUCUCGGGUACCAAGUACCAACCACUAAACCCUAUAAAAGUUGAGCAAUGCUCCUAUGCACCGAACAAAUCUCAGCCAUUAAAAUUCUUUAAAUGUACGGUAACGCUAGACCUAUUAAAAGAGGGUGACCGGCACUUGGGGGUAUAGGUACCGGUCACCACUUUAAUAAGGGCAAAUUUUUUUUUUUUAUUACAUGGAGUUUACAAUGAGGGUAUUUUGGUAAAUUGUCAUCCUCAUAACAUGCCAUUUUUGUAAAUUUAGAAUAUUCCACCUUCCUUCAUUCUUAUCCUCCAAUAUUCCAUCUUUGUAUUAUUACCUUUUCUAAAUUAAACCUCAUGUCUUUAAACCAUAGUUAGUUAAUUCGAAUAUGAUAAAAAUUCGAUACGGAUAAAAUACGAAUAAAAUUCGCAAUUUUAAUUUUUAAGUUCGUUGAAAAAUACGGUUUAAAAAUUAGAUUCGCCAAUAAUUCGCAUACGCGAUUUAUACGAAAAUUUUACGUUUAUCAUUUAAAAAUUCGGAAUAAAAAUUCGUUUAUUUAAUUAAAAUUUUUUUAGAUUUAUGCUAUUAUCAUGCAUAAAUAAUUAUAAUUCUUAUAAAAUAUAAAAAUAAAAUUGGAUAUAUAUAUAUAUAUAUAUAUAUAUAUAUACAUAUAUUAUAUAUACACACACACACAACACACAAACACAAAAAGGGGGAGCAGUCCACGAGGCUGAGUGCAGCCUCGUGGACCGCAAUAUUUUCCUACACGUAGGCCGCGAUUUCUUCUUUCUCGCCGCUCUUCUUUUCCUUUUUUGUUUUAGAAUCAUUUAGUUUAAAUAGUUAACAAAUUUUAUUUUUUUUAGCUAUAAUAUAAAUUAAAUCUAAAUUUAAAAUUUAAUUUUAAUCAAUAUUUUUAAACUUUAAUGUUGUUUUUACUAUCGAAUGAACAGUUUGAAUAUAAUUUUAAAAAUAAAAGAUUUUAAUUUAAAUAAAAAAUAAAAGUUAUGUUUAUAAAUACAGCAUAAUUUAUAAUUUAAAUUAAAUUAGUAUAUUUGAAAUUUCGUGUCAUUUUAAUAUAUCAAAUUAACAAUUUGAAUUGAAAUAUACUAUUCAUUUAAACAUAAAUUUUUUCAUUCUGAAAAUAAAAAUAAAAAUUAAAUUUGAAUUUAAUGUACACAUUUAUUAUAAAGUUUAACCUCAAAUUGAAUUUUAAAUUUAAUUUAUAAAGAUUUAUUACUUAUCAAAUUAGCACUAUCUAAUUUGAUAAGUAACAAAAUUAAACAAGGAAACAAAUAUUUGUAUAAGGUUGAUCAAAUUUGAUAAUUAGUUUGUAUUUUUUUUUCCAAAUUAUCCUUAUGAAUGGUAACCUAUUGAGUAGGUAACCACUAUGCAAAAGUCAAUCUCGCCCUUAAAAUAUGAACGAUUAGAUUUAUUUUAUCUGGUGUAUUGAAGCAUUCCUCAUAAAAGUUAAGAAGAUUAUAAGCCCACCAAUUUGACCCUUUAAAAACGGUAUAGAAUAAUCCAAACCGUGUUGCUUAUGCUCGAAGCUAGCUACGCAAGUGGAGGGCUCAUCGGCACGGUAUCCAUAUAUUAGAUGCAUCUUUGGAUCAUGGACAUGACUAUAACCUUGCGUUUCAGGUUCGACACUCAUGUGCCCGUGUUAGACGAUCAUGUCCAACAUGAAUGCAACAUCAACGCACGUCCACGGCGCAUCCCAUGAUCACGAUGGAUGCGACUACAAAUCAAAUAGAAAGGUCCAGCUAUGGUGCUUUCAGAAGUUGCUAUUUAUAGUUUUUAAAUUUUUUAAAUUUAUAAUAAAACUAUCAUCAAAUAGUAAAUCCUAAUAAUCCAAAAGCUAGAAAGUUAAAAAAUAAAGAAGAAGAUAUAACCAAAUGCAUUCCAACUCAAUACGGGAUAAUAAUAUCCCUCUCACUCAUAAGAUAACAAUAAUUAAUCCCCAACCAAAUUGGACCAAAAGAAGACUUUUGUGGAGUCAUUUUAAAAUAUAAAAUAAAAAACAAAAAACAAAUACUUAUGUUGACUGUUUCGAUCGACUAUGUUAUCGUGUAGUUGGAAUAUUUUGUAUCAAAAUUUUCCAUUGUCAUUUUCUCAAAAAAAAAAAAAAAGCAAAGUUUUUUUUUUCUAUGUCAUAUACACUUUGCAAUUUAAAUUCGUGAGUUUAAUCACUUCUAGCUUAAUUAUGUAUUACACACCACUUGUUAAAUUCAUGAUCUUCAAAUCAAAUCAUUUCGUUGGAUCACACUCCAUUUUUUCAGCUUUAAUGAGCUCAAACAUCGACCAAAAAAUACCAAAAUAAAUAGACAGGAUAUUUAAUUAUUAAUAUACACUGCUUCGAAUCGCACUAUUUAAAAGGAACCAUUUUUUUGUUAAAUUCGUGACUUUCAAAUAUAUUUGGUUGGAUACUUGAUUUUCUUUUUUUUUCAAUUUUGAUGAGCACAUUUCCAAAACAUCGAUGGAGACAACAAAAUAUUAAUUAGAAGGGAACGAAUCGAUUAGCUCUGAUACCGCGUGUUACUUAAAAAAUCGAUGUAAUAGAAAAUAAUUUGAACUUUGUCUUAAAAAAAAUAAUAUCUCAGCAUUUGAGAGAAAAAUAUAAAUAAUAUGAAUAUAUUAGAAAAUAUGUUGCAUUUUUUAAUCAUGAAUAAUGUUAUACUCAUAUAUAAAUUUUAUAACACUUUAGAAAUUAGCAUACAUGGCGAUAUUUAAUUGGUGGAGAAGUUUAAAUUAUGAGAAAAUUCAGUACAUCAAGCAAUUAUAAUUUCUCCUUUAUUUCCUCACUAACGUCUUCAACUUUUGGUCCCAAAAAUCACAUCAUGGUCCUUUGAUUAUUGUGCAAAUCUCACAUUAAUUUUUAAAUUUUAAUUUAUUAUGUUAAAAGAAUUAAUUAAUUUAUUAGAUUGUUUUUAUUUUACUACUGAAACAUUAAGUUUUUAAAUUUUUUAAAUUUAUAAUAAAACUAUCAUCAAAUAGUAAAUCCUAAUAAUCCAAAAGCUAGAAAGUUAAAAAAUAAAGAAGAAGAUAUAACCAAAUGCAUUCCAACUCAAUACGGGAUAAUAAUAUCCCUCUCACUCAUAAGAUAACAAUAAUUAAUCCCCAACCAAAUUGGACCAAAAGAAGACUUUUGUGGAGUCAUUUUAAAAUAUAAAAUAAAAAACAAAAAACAAAUACUUAUGUUGACUGUUUCGAUCGACUAUGUUAUCGUGUAGUUGGAAUAUUUUGUAUCAAAAUUUUCCAUUGUCAUUUUCUCAAAAAAAAAAAAAAAGCAAAGUUUUUUUUUUCUAUGUCAUAUACACUUUGCAAUUUAAAUUCGUGAGUUUAAUCACUUCUAGCUUAAUUAUGUAUUACACACCACUUGUUAAAUUCAUGAUCUUCAAAUCAAAUCAUUUCGUUGGAUCACACUCCAUUUUUUCAGCUUUAAUGAGCUCAAACAUCGACCAAAAAAUACCAAAAUAAAUAGACAGGAUAUUUAAUUAUUAAUAUACACUGCUUCGAAUCGCACUAUUUAAAAGGAACCAUUUUUUUGUUAAAUUCGUGACUUUCAAAUAUAUUUGGUUGGAUACUUGAUUUUCUUUUUUUUUCAAUUUUGAUGAGCACAUUUCCAAAACAUCGAUGGAGACAACAAAAUNAUAUCAAAAAAUCGCAAAAAUUAUUUUCUAGAAACUUCAAAUGCGUUAGAUCAAGUCUAACGGAGCCGAUCGUCGAUUCGAAAAUUCCAUCAUCGAAAACGGCUCAGGAGCACAGAGGCCUCCGUACUCCUGAGAGCACAGCAGCCCUACUCUAUAUAUAUAUAUAUAUAUAUAUAUAUAUAUAUAUAUAUAUAUAUAUAAUCAAUUAAUUAAUUUUUAUAGAUUUUAUUUACAACUUCAAACACCACCCAUGUGGAUUCAUAUUUUCUCACUUUAGUAUCAUAUGGUUUAGAGUGUAUCAAUUUAGUAUUUUGUGAUUUUAUUUUUCUCUUUUUACUAUUUAUUUCACUAAUAUUUUUAUUAAAUCAGUGAGAAAGUUAAAACUAAAUGAUGCAAAAGUGAAUAUUCGAUAAACUUAGAUAGAAUAUCUAAAAUUUUGUAUAUAAUUUAAUAAAAUAUUAUCAGAGAAACUGACGAAAAGAGAAAAAUAAAAUCACAAGAUACUAACUUGAGACAUUUUAAACCACAAAGUAUUAAAAUAAGAAAGUACGAAACCACUGAGAUCGUGUUUGAAGUUUACAUUAAAAUUUUUUAUUUUACUUUUUUGUUCCUAUGCGCAACGUAUUCUAUGGCCAACAUCCAAACACCACGACACCAAAAUAAUACUGGAGCAAAAAUUUGCGUGAAAAUUACCCAAAAUGUCCUUUUCUUUUUUUUAUAUAAACCUCGCCCACACCUCCGACGACGACGAUCACAUACAAAUCUCCUAACAUACCAAAAACAUUCGUUCGUUGAUACAACAAAUCAAACACAUAUGGCCCGGUCCUCGUUUGCUCGCAAUAUGUUGUUAUCUUUGUUAGUCGCAGUUGCUUAUUUCUCCGCGGUGGCGCCGCGCUGCGCGGAAGCCGAGGUGACGUGCCCGGAGGUUUACGGUGUGCUGAUGCAGUGCGUGCCGUACCUGCGGUCGGGGGGCACCCCGGCGCCGCAGUGCUGCAGCGGAAUCCAGCAGCUGCUGGCGGCAGCGAGCACGACGGCCGACCGCCGCACGGCGUGCCAGUGCCUCAAGACCGCCGCGGCGGGCCUCUCCGGGCUCAACCUCGGCUACGCCGUCGCACUCCCGGGCAAGUGCGGGGUCUCGUUCCCCUACAAGAUCACACCCAAUAUCGACUGCUCCACGUACGUAAAGUUACGGCCGUUAAAUAUAAUGUAAAAUUUGUUUGAACCGAAAUUUUUGAUUCGACUAUCUAAUUUUUAAAAAUUUUAAUUUUAAUGUCUAAUCUUUUAAUUUACUUGAUUUGAGUCCGUCAACAAUACUUUGGCUUUCAAAUUAAAACUAAUUAUCUUUUUCAAUGAACUUAUAGUUGUCAGAAUUGUAUGAGGCAUAUAAAUUAAAUUUGUGCAGAUAAAGGACAUAUUUAAAUUUGAAAUUUAAAUAUUAUUGGCGGACUCAAAUUAAAUAAAUUAAAUGAUUGAAUAGUAAAAUAAACUUAUAAUGGUUCGACAUCAGAGUGGGCCUGGCCAAGCACGGCACGAGCACUAUAACACUCGUGUCGGAUGGGCUCGGCCAGUUAAACUGGGCCGUGCUGGGCCUUGCUCUCACGCCCCGAUGGCCUGGCACAGCCCAGCACGACACGAGCCUGGACCGUGCCGAGCCUGAGGGGAUGUCCCGGCCCGACACGACACGGCACGGCUCGACCAAUGUGGUCAGUGCCUCCUAAGGCGGUCCCGAGCAGGGAGUUGGGUUCCCCCUGCACCACCCCAACUCCCAAUGCUUUGGGAGUUGGGUUUAGGAGAUGGGUCUAUUGGACCAAAAUGCCACUGUUGGGAAGAAUAUUUCGGUCCAAAAAAUUUAAUAAUUUAAAAUAAUUUAAAAUUUUAAUAUUUUUAUAAAUGUAUUUUAAAAUUUUAAAUUUUUUUACUUAUAUAUUAUUUUUUUAAAAAAAUAUUUUUUUAUUUUUAUUUUUAAAAAAUUUUAUAUAUUUUUAAAUAAAAUUAAAUAAAUGAAUUCCUUAUCAAUGACACACGUACCCUCUUAAUGUAUUGUGUAUUUUCUUUUGUGAAUUAAUCAUAUAUAUUAUUACUAGGGAUAUGUUCACAGGACUUGAUAGCUAUCCCUACAUUACACCCGGCACGGCCCGGUCUCCAGUCGGGCCGUCCCGAACCGGGUAUCAACCCGACACAGCACAACCCAGUUUCAAGAACCUGGAGCCAGGUCGCGCUGGGGAGCCAGAUCUGACAUGCCUGGCCCGACCCGAAGCUCGAUCAAAGAAAANAUAUAUAUAUAUAUAUAUAUAUAUAUAUAUAUAUAUAUAUAUAUAUAUAUAUAUAUAUAUAUAUAUAUAUAUAGCUAGGCUCCUACGCUUUCGAAAGUACGGGGGCCUCCUUACUUGUAAGUUGUUUUCGACGAUGGGACGUCCGAUUCGGCGAUCGAUUCCGUUAGACAUGAUCUACGCUAUUGGAACUACCUAAAAACCAAAUUUUAUAAAUUUUUGACUUCGUUUGUCUAGUAAACGAGUAGCCUCAAAAUAAACGGCUGAAAAUAAAAAUCUUAUAAAAAACAGUGGUAAAGGACUCAAAUUUCAAAUCGAAAGUAUUGGUCUUACUAUUGACAUUAAGUAGAAUUUUCUAUUAAAUUUUUAUCUAAUUUGAAUACUUCUACACCGUUGAACUUAAAAACGUACCGCAUCGACCAUUAAAAGUCAUUUUUGGGACCUUUUGAUCGCUUAGUAAAUGAUGUCAAAAAAUUAUGAAAUUUGGUUUCUAGAUAAUUCCAAAGGGGUAGAUUAUACCUAACAGAGCCGAUCGUCGAAUCGGAUGUCUUAUCAUCGAAAACAACUUACAAGUAUGGAAGUCCCGGUACUUUCGAAAGUAUAGUAGAUGCACUCAUAUAUAUAUAUAUAUAGAGAGAGAGAGAGAGAGAGAGAGAGAGAGAGAGAGAGAGAGUGAUAAAAUAUUGCGCUAAUGUGGUAAAUAUAAAUCAACGCUUAUAUGAUAAUUCUCAUUUUGAAACCAAUGGUACUUAAUUUUUUAAGGAAGAGAUUUAUUUGCAAUAAUUGAUAAACGUUUAUUAUUAAAUUACAAAAGUUAUAAAAAUUUCAAAAAAAGAAAAAAGGCACUUUUUUUGUUGCCAAACAAACUUACAAAAUAUAUAUUAUCUUCUUUUUUUCCGUCUUAAUUUGCAGGAUACCGUAGGAAGAAGAUGGUCGCAAUGCAGAAUAAAAGAGACCCAAAAGAGAACCUAAUUUGUGUUGGUGCUGCUGAGUUAAUUUUCGUGCAUGUGGCUUAAAAGUAUUCUGGCUUAAUUCUAUAAUAAGAAGAUGACCGGACCGCUAUAUAUAGAGAUAUGUAAUUCUGAUGUGUAUGGUCCAAGAAGUAAUACUUGUUUGGCUGUAAUAAAUUAUAAGAUAAACUUCAAAUGUCAUCUUUAUGGUUUCGCACUUUCUUAUUUUAGUACUCUGUGGUUUAAAAUAUAUCAAUUUAUUAUCCUACGUUUUUAUUUUUCUCUUGUUAUCAGCUCUUUCGUAAUAUUUUAUUAAAUUAUAUACAAAAAAUUUUAGAUACCAUAUAUAGGUUUAUCGAAUAUUUACUUUAGUACCUUUUAGUUUUAAUUUUAUCACUGAUUUAACGAAAAAAAAAUUAGUGGAGAAAAUAAUAAAAAGAGAAAAUAAAAUCACGGGUACUAAAUAAUACAGUUUAAAGCGCAGAGUACUAAAAUAAAAAAAAAACACGAAACCAUAUGGGUGGUAUUUAAAGUUUUCUCUAAAUUAUAUGUCCUGAUUAAUUUAUGGUCAAAAUCUACAGGUUAACCUAAUAUUUAAUUGCACCUAAGCUGUUGAAUUAACUCUUUUCCAAGAAAGUAAGAAAGAAAAGUAAAAUUAAAAAAAUGGUAAGCACGAUCGGUGUAAAUUUGAGGUAUGAUGAACGAGAUAUCAUGGGCAUUAGAGACACCAUAUCAGCAAUAUUAUUGUCACAUUUUAGAUUUUUUUUAUUUUCUUAUGUUGUAAGUAGCUAACAUUUUUUUUUAAAAAAAAUCCUUCAAAUAAUUUGAAAGAAAAUAAAAAAAAAAAAAGAAAAACUAAUGGUGCUUAAACAAAAAGUCCCAUUAUGGAUGUGAAAAAUUUUAGAAUGUACCCGUUAUAUUAAUGAUCUGGUGUCACAUCAUAAUUAUAAAAAAUUAUUUUUAUUGUAUUUUUUUUUCUAAAAAAAAUAUAUAAUUAGCAUGUUAUUGCUGAUGUGGUGCAAGUACAAUACAAUAAACUUUCUCUAUAACUGUAUCCCGAAAAUAAAAGAAAAAGAAAAAAAAUUUGGAUGGGGAGGAAAACCACAGGACACUCCGUUACUUUAUAUAGCUUUAAAAUUCAUGUCAUUUACAUGAUAAACUAUGGACGAAGCGGUCUCAUCUUGAAAAUCCUCCUCAUCAUAAUAUAAAUUGUUUAUAUGUUAUUGGCUAUAUAUGUUUUCUCUUCUAAUUGUAAAUUAGGAGUUUCUCUUAGUCUUAUAUAUAAUUAUUUAGGAUCAGAUAAUAAAGUAAUUCAUAUUAUUCUGAGAAAAUAAUUUAAGGCCACACAUACUAUAUAUGUUAUUAGUUAUAAACAUAGAAUCAUACUCUCCAUAUGAUCGACAAUUGUUUUAAAAUUCUUUAAUAAAUAAAAAAAUAUCAAAUAGGAUGUCUAUCCAAUCAUCCAAAAUUAUCGAUGUUAAGAGUGAAAGAUUAAUAAUAAUCAUUUCAUAUUAAAAAUGGCAACUUACGGCCUAAGACAAGGCCAUUUCGCAUCCAAAAUUCGGAUCGAAUAUGAAACGAGUGCGGUGUUGGCUCAACCCCUUCGAAUCCUAUCGAAUUUCAUAAAGUUCAAUCUCUUCGUGAUCCUCAACCCAUUCGAAUCGCAAAAUUUUUCUUCUCAUCUUAUACUGUUCAAUCAUACCUUGACUAACACAUGAAAAAUAUUUCUUAUAUAUAAAUCUCAUAUCAACUUAAUCACCAUCACCACAGCCCAUAUGGUUGUGCCAUUCAUUGUAGCUCUCGAUCAUCUCAACAAACAUAUUAGAAUUUGACAAUAUAAAUAGAAAAACCAAACAUUUUCCCUCUUUCUUUUUGUUUUUCUCCAAUUUUUUCUUUUUUUUAAUCAUGCUUAGUAAUACAUAAUUCUACUGAGAAAGCAGUGCCCCAAUGUUAUCUGCUAGGCUCUUCACUGUGGUAGGAGACACAGCUCUGCUUCCCCCCAGGUACCAUUUUUGGAUCAUCUGCGCAACGUUGGCAUUUUCCACCACCAUUUUCACUUCUCCUUUUUCCUCCGUCGCAAAUGUUAUCUGCGCUCGUAACCGACAAACGAAAGCGCUUGAUAUUAGUAAAGCUAGAAAUGUAUGGUUUUAGAGCUCAAGUUCAUAAGAAAGAAUUGACGUUCGCCACUAUUUUUCUUCAUUUUGUAACAAAAUUUUCAAAAACGAAACUCACAACUCACCGACCGACCGUCAGAUAUUUUCAAGGGCUAAAGAUAAGUAAGUAAAAUAUUAAUACAAGAACUAUCCCUACGUACAUGCGUGUUUAUCAUUUCAUCUCGUAUAUAUUGCUAAGUUAAAAGUUAUCAAAAUAUUACAGAAAGAGUAAUAUCUGCUCUAUUAAUGAUAAUUAAUUUAUGCCAAAGAUGCUAACGUUGAAGGAACUUUGAUGGUGAUCAUUCCUUUACCUCUGCAGUGCGAGAAGCUACAGGAAAAUAGAAAGUGAUCACUGAAUCCUUCUUGAAAUAUUUGGUUUGGAAAAACUCGGCAAUCUUGUCAAGUGCCUCUUCUUCCUCUUCUUCGUACUUGUCGACGGCCACCAAUCGGUCUCUCACCGAGCUCUCUAACUGUACGCCGUACUGCGAACCCUUUAUCUCCUUUAUCACAACCACUUUGAAAUAUUUCUCCACGGGAGCUGCAGAUGAAUCAUGUAGCAAUGUACAUAUAUAGUUACUCGUUGAAGUCAUGCCAGACUCCUAACAUAAUUAAUUUCCUUCUUUUUAAUUCAAAUUCACGCCAUGGGUCUUCCAAAAAGUCUCGAGCCCAGGCGUGAGGGAGAGUGUUAAAUAUAAAAUUAUAUCAACACUCUUCUCUAAACUUAAACUUUUAGAGUACAACGGUUGUUUCACAUAAAAUAACAUAAGUUACUUUUCUAUUAAUAAAAUGCUAUACUUUAAACCACAAAAUAAUGAUUUGGUCGAUAUACUUUAAACCACAAAAUAAUGAUUAAUUUGCUCAUAUGUCGACCGCUAAAUUUUAAUUUUUCGAAGUUAAUUAUAUAUUGAAAUUAAAUCUCACCUGAAACAAGUGCCUCAAAGAAGGAAUCAUCUUCAGCAAGCAGUGUUCCCUUUUUGCCCUUCCAAUUUCCCAAAUGAUCAACAAUUUUUUCCUUUUCCAAGUAAAUCCCAAUUGCAUUGUACUUGAUUUGUAGGAAAUGAAUUUCUAUAUCAGUAAUACCUGUAAAUGGUACACAUAGUACAACUCCAAAAUUCAAUGUCUCAUAGAUAUAAUUUGACUAUAAAUGACAGAAUAUAUAUGUCAUGGAUAGAUCCCAAAUGUUUAAACAUUUCUUGAAACUUGAUUUUUUUUGAAUUAUUUAAUGAUCCCGUCAAAUUUCGCAGCUCUAACUAUUUUAUAGCCGAAAAACGUUCAGAUCAUCAACAGUUAAUGGAUUCAUUCAGAAUAACUCAAAUCAAAAUAAAAUAAAAGUUAGAAAAUGUUCAAAUAGUACAAUAAAAAGAAAAAUAAAGCUCUGGAGCCUAGUAUUUCAAAAAGUAAACUUCAAAUACCCCUCCUAGUUUCGCAUUUUCUCACUUCAGUACCAUGUGGUUUAAAGUGUAUCAAUUUAGUACUCUGUGAUUUUAAAUUUUUUUUUUGUCAGAUUUUUUUUCGUUAAAUCAGUGACAAAGUUAAAACUAAAAGGUACUAAAGUGAAUAUUCGAUAAAUCUAGAUGGGAUAUGGAAGUUUUUUAUAUAUAAUUUAACGAAAUGUUAACGGAUGAGCUAACGAAAAGAAAAAUAAAAUAAAAUUAUAGAGUAGUAAAUUGAUACACUUUAAACCACGUGAUAUUAAAGUAAGAAAAUAUAAAACCAUAGGGAUGGUAAGAACAUAAUUAAAGUAGCAUAAUAUGUAACACAUACCAUGACCCAAUAGUGUUAAGGGUUUAGUCACUGUGAUCUCAGGAGCAAAUGGGACUCCAUCCACCAUCACCAUCUCAGAACCCACUACACAGUUUUAAAAGCCAAUCAAACAUUAUCCAAAAGGAAAAAAAAAUAAAAAAAGAAAAAGAUAAAUCACCACAAUAUAUAUAAACUAAAUAAAUUAAUUAAUAAAGAAGUAAAAGUAAUUCACAAAAUUGAUUUUUAGUUUGAAAACACUUAUGGAUGCACAAAAAAAAAAAAAAAGAACAAAUGAGAGGUGCUCUUACUGUGAGAGGGGGGGGGGGGGGAGGGGGGGGUAGAAGCACAAAAGAGAAUGGUGUGGAGACAUUUGAGAGAAAGAUAGUGAGGGGUUUUAAAGAGACAACAAGUGGUUUAGUAGGAGGGGUAGUGGAAAAAAAAAAAAAAAAAAAAAAAAAAACUCAUGCUAAUACCACCUCUCCAUGAAGUUAUUGCUUGCACCUGGUGCUCUGCGCCUCGUGCAUCGCAAUCAACCAACCAUUCAUUAUAUUUCAAAAUUUUAUUCAUGGUUUGCGGCUUGCAAUUGUUUGCAUGUGCAGGAGAAAGCCGUGCGGUAGCGAGCAAACGCACAGUAUUUUAGGGCACAUUUAUUAAGAUAUAUAUAUUCUACAAUUGUUUUCUAAUAAAUCGAUCUGUUGGGUUGCAUGAUGUUAGAGUUAAUUCUAAACUCUUUUAUUAUAUAAGAUCGUAAAUUCAAUUCCCACCUUUAAUAUUUAACUAGUUAAAUAUAUUCUCAUCUUCUAUUUCACCUAUUAAUUCUGUGUUUCUUUCAUAUUCAUUAUGCACGUGAGUAAAGUUAUAAAUAUAUAUUUUUGAACUCAUUUUCUACUAAAUUAUAAUCAUAGAGCGAUAUUUUUUGUAACAAUAAUUGCAUAAUAACAUUGUAAUAUUUGAAGCAUAACUCACUAUUGUUAUUUUAGCAGUACAAGAUCAAGUUAAUAAGCCUUUAAAAAAUAUAUAAAAAAAAAUUAUAACAUGGAAUUUGUUCAUAUAUAUAGCAUCCAACCAACCGUUUGCAUCAAACAUCUUCAAACUUUAGUUAUAAAUUAUUGAAAAAACUUUAAAUACCAUCUAUGCAUGUGGUUUCUCACUUUCUCAUUUUAAUACAUGUGGUUUAAAGUGUUUUCGUACCAUGUAAUUUUAUUCUUCUCUUUUUAUUAUUUCUUUACUAAUUUUUUUCGUUAAAUCAGUGAAAAAGUUAAAACUAAAAGGUACUAAAGUAAAAAUUCAAUAAACUAUAGGUGGGUAUCUAAAGUUUUUUAUAUAUAAUUUAAUAAAAAGUUAACAGAGGAGCCGACGAAAAGAAAAAAAAUAAAACUAUAGGGUAUUAAAUGGAUACAUUUUAAAUUGUAGGGUAUUAAAGUGAAAAAAUGCAAAACUAAAGGGAUGGUACUUGAAGUUUACCCAUUAUUAUAAAAAAAAACUUAUAUGUAUAUAUUGCUCAGUCGACGGUGGAGAUUUAAAAUUGAGACGUGAUCGACGGGCGGAUGGGUGCGGUGCACGAACCGUACACAUACACCGGGUGCAGACAAGAACGUUCUCCUCCUCAGGUGCUUCCUGGACCGGUGGUUGUUACACGCAACUCGCGCCCAACCAAAACUCCUCGGUUUCCGUGUAACGCUUACUUGUCAUUGUUCCUAGGCUGACACGUGGACGUCGAAGUUGAAAUGUACCUAACAUUUUCGCCCAUGGCUACGGGAAUUUUGCAAAUAUAUUUUUUGCGUCAUUAUUACAUCUCAAUAAUAUUUUAGGAGCAAUAAAUAAAUCUUUUGAGGUCAAUAUAGUGAUUAAUAUUUUUUUGAUUGGUGACGUUAAAAAGCGUGAUUUUAUUGUGCACGCAUUAGAUAUAAUAAAUCUGAUCAAUAUCUAUGGUAGAUAAGAGAUUUUUGGUCACAAAAAUUGUUGUUGGACAUUUAUUGUACAUAUAAUUUUUGGUGGGCUAAAUAAAUAUGGUACAAAUAAAUUAAAUACUCAAAUGACCUAUACCUACCAUACAAGUUUUCUAAAUCUAAAACUAUAAUUGAAAAGGAAAAGUAUUACACAAAAAGAAUAUUUAUAAAACUAAGAAAAGAAAAAGUAUUUAGCGCAUUAAGGCUUAGUUUGGUAUUGAGGCCUAUCUAACGCUAUAAGAUAAAAUUGAGUUGUGGAAAAAGCAUAUAGAAAUAUACUUCUGCGUUCUCCGAUGGGACUGCAGAAAAUUAUAACGUAACCGACUCAUCACGAUAUGCGGAACGUAAUAUUACGUACGGAAACAAACAUGUAUUUUCUCACCGCACGUAACGCAAUCUCCCCGCAAUCCCAAACGAAGCCUAAGAAACAUCGGAGCUGCUUGGUAUCCAUAGUCAUAUGAUACUAUUAAGCAGAAUAAAAAUAUUCUUUUAGACAUGUCAUAUAAAAAUGUAUUUUUUUGUUUUUUCGACAAGACCAUUAAAAUAAUAUUAUAAUCGAUUUAUUGCAAUAUGUAUAAUAUCGUAUUACUUACAUAGGAGCAAACGAAAUAUAUUUUUACCUUAUUUUCUCACCACACAUAGGCAUUUUUCUUACUUUAAUCUUUUUCUAAUAUUAGUUUUGUGAAAUACUAUUACCAUUUAUCGCCUUAAUAAUUUUCAGAUAAUUUUUGUCCUUAAAAAGUAUUUAAAUAUUUAUUUAAAUAAUUUUAAUCAUCACUACAGUUUUCGUGUCGGGCUCCGGCCCAUGAUGAACUCGGCCCAUAUGGCCACGGACCGUCCGGCCCGUUUUACAUUCCCAAGAGAAAAAAAAAAAUUAUACAAAAAUAAUUAAAUUUUUUUAAAUAAUAAAAUCCCCCUCAUUACUACUACGCCUAAAAAAAAAAAAAAAAAAGUCUCCAGUGGAAAAACCCUUAUCUUAAAAGCGAGCGCGCGGGGGGAAAUGGCUUCGCUGCGUCUUCGUCUCCCUCACAGCAAUGGUCGCCUCCUCUUCUCCUCCUCCUCAUCAUCAUCGUCGUCAUCGUCGUCUCUCUUUCUAUGGAACCCUAACCCUCAAUUGCCCAUGAGACCUUGCUCUCGAUUCCCAAGUAAUCGUUCUCUUUCUCUCUCUCUCUCUCUCUCUAUAUGUAUAUGUAUAUAUGUAGAAUGUGGGGUGGGGGUUUUGAGGUGGAGGGUGUUGUGGGGUUGCAGAGAUAUACGCUUUCUCCAGCAACGACAUCAAGGUGGGAUCCAACAUCGAGGUGGAUGGGUCGCCGUGGAGAGUUCUUGGUAACGAGCUCUCACCUCCUUUUCUCUCUCUUGCGUUUCUCUUUGCCCUUUUCAAAUUUUCAAUUUUGGUUUAGUCUCUCGCUGCUAAAACAACAAAACCCUGAUUUUUAAGAAAAAAAGUUGUUUUUUUUUUAAUGAGUCAUUGUACUGUUGAAGAGGGUAAAAUUAUCAUUUUGUGAGAAAAAAAAGAGUUUUUUUUUGGGGGGUUUCAUGUGGAGGAUUAAAAUUGCGGAAGUUGGUUUUGUUACAAAAAAAAACUGAAGUGUUUAAGCAGAAAAAGUUUAUGUUCCGUGAAAGCGAUUCAUACAAUGAGAAUCCACAAUGCACAUGAAUAUUGUGUGAUUUUUGUGUUGUAUUUAUGGUAUAUGGUUCCUUUAUGCCCAUACUUAAUUUAUUGGGUAAUGUUUGAUCACGUCAAGAUGCUUGAAUUUACAGAGACUGGGAAGUGGUGAACAAAGUAAAGCAAAUCAGAAAACUGAUUAGUUCAGAAUGGCUAUUAAGCUGAUAUUUUCCCACCUUUUUUAGGUCUAUUUUAUGAUGUGAAUUGGCAACUGUAAGAACUUAUUACUAUUUAGUAGUUCUUGGCUCGGUUACUUAUAUGCAGCAGAACGGAUUAUAAUUUGCGAGGAUUAAUUGGUAAGUUUGUGGUGCGUAAGUUUUAACUUCUUCUUAUUGGAUGGCAAAUAUAGAAUUUCUUCAUGUCAAGCCCGGGAAGGGUGCUGCAUUUGUAAGGACGAAAGUGCGGAAUUACAUCACAGGCAACACAGUUGAGAAAACAUUUCGAGCUGGAAGUUCGGUAAAUACAAGCAUAAGUUAUAUCUUUAAGAUUCUUUAAAUUGGGAUACACUGGUAUUAGAUAUAUGUUUACUCAUUGAUUCUAUCAUGGUAGAUGCCAUAUUCGAGAAACAAACCAUUAUUCAUAUCGUUCAGCAAUAUUUGUCUUGCCAAGACCUCAAUGUAGUGUGUUUUAAUAUAUUUUUCAUAAUAACUCUUUUAAGAGAUAAAUGUAUGACAUUCGUUGAAUCUUCGUGCUUUUGUGAAUAAGCUACCAAAAUCAUAGUUUUGAAACUGAUUCCUUUAACUCGUAUAUAGUGUGUUCGACCUAUUAUUCAUAAUUGCUUAUCUAAGCAAUAUGUUUGCACACCCUAUGCAGCUUUUUUCAUUUGUUGUAACCGGAAGCCACAGGUCUCUGCGCAUAGCCGCAUAUUAUGCAGAUUUUUUGUUCUAAUCAGUUUUAGUUUGUUCAAAUAAAUGUCUUUACUUUUGGGUACAUAUUUUUGGUGUAGAACACCAAGUAUGUUUAAUCGUAUGCAUCAUAACAUUAGACUUAGCUAAUUUGACUACUUGGGACGAGAAUUGUUUUUGGUGCCGUAUAGUCAUCAAUCUGUAUCAUCACAAUCUAUUUGUAUGGCCAUUCUUCACCAACAGUCCUUCUCAAGUUCAGUUGUUUUUACAUGUACUCAUCUUUUUGGUUUUCAUGAAUUUGGUAUUAAUUUAUAUUUUUGAUUCUCAAAUACUAUUAACUCUCUUUGGUACUUUAUACUGAUGUCCUGACAAUUUCUUUAACUUUUAUACUCUUUCAGAUACAAGAGGCAAAUAUUGUAAAAGAAACAAAACAGUUCACUUACAAGGAUGGGAACCAAUUUGUUUUCAUGGAUCUGGUACUUGUCUAUAAAUGUUUUUGCAAACCUGUCUUAUACACCUUGUGUGUCCUUUACUGGUCAUUAUACCUUGAGUUACCUUCACUGAUGCGAUACUCUACAUAUCGGAUAAUCCCAUUAGAUUCUCCCAAGUAAGAAAAAUAAAAUAAAAUAGCAGGAAUGAGAAUUGUGGAAAUAUAUUUGUAAUUAUGCAUGAAGUCAUCAAUCAAGGGAACCUUUCAGUUAGAAACUAGAGAUUGUAUGUCUCAUCACCACUCGUUAAUGGUUUUACAAUCUUUAAUUUUGUGAAUAAGUAUAUCUAGAGGGCUAUGCUUGACAAGUUGAUAUUGGUAUGGAAUAUUGGAAUAGUUCUUCCAUAUCUCUUCAAUUCUUCCCUGGAUGGCAGGUCAUGUGCAUUUCGGAUUGCUAACCCAUACGGUCUUUCCAAUAGUGUCAUGGAGAGUGUAAUUUAUGACAUUUGUAUGUUACAACUUACAAGGACCUGUCUUUGUUAUUAUUUAUUACAACAUAUGUGGCAAUACAAAAUGCGCAUAAUUCUAUUCUUAUUUUUACAUCCUGUAACUAUAUUUGUUUGAAGGAAAAAAAAUUGAAAAAACUAUGCUGGAACACAAUUUUAUUAUGAUGCAAUGAAGCGUAGAGUUUGUACACUAGUUAUGUUAAGAGGGAUUGUUCUCAGGCCCUUGAGAUUUUCUCAAAGGCUUAGCUUUUGCUCUCUUAUUCCUGAAAUAGGGAACUUUGCUUCUGAUAUAUAUAAUAUUUUUUUAUAUUUUUGGGAGCCAUUUAAUGAUGUAUGUUAGGUGUAAAUUUCCAGUAAGGUAGAACUCUAUUAUUUAGUAAUUAUGAUAUAUUAUAAUGUUCAACAGGCUUCUUUUGAAGAAUGCCGUUUAAAUGAAGCGGAAGUUGGCGACAAAAAGAAAUGGCUGAAAGAAGGAAUGGAUUGUAAUCUGCUUUUCUGGAAUGGGCGGGUAAUUCUGUUUGGUUUUUUUUUCUCAUCUGCUCGUUUGGCCCAUCUCAUCUGCAUAAAAGAUUAUGUAAUUUAUACACAUUUUAUCAUUGAUUGUUGAUGUGGUUGAUACAUUCAGUGCGAGUAUUGAGAUUAGAUGAAUGUGACGGUCCUAAAAUCGUGUAGUUUUUCUCAGGUUAUUGAUUUUGAACUUCCCAUCACUGUUAAGCUAACUGUGGUUGAUGUCGAUCCUGGUGUGAGAGGUGACACUGCACAAGGUACUUUUUUUUUCCUUUUGUCUUGUGGUUAAUAUUUACUGCAGAAUAUAUAAUCUCCAUAAUGUAGUCUUAUAUUUCUGCCGGAGUUCCAUGGAAUAGUGAUUGCUUAGUUGGAGGUUCAUCGAUUUUAUUCCUAGUUGUAAACACUAAUACUUUUAAUCUAGUAAGGAAAAACUUGGUCUAUUCAGUAAGAUCUUGUUCAGGACUUCAGAUUUCUUGUUCUUUGAAUCAACUUGUGCCCCUCUCAUUUGAUACAUUUCUACAGUUUGUAUAAAUAUGCAUACUACCUAUGUACUAAACAUAGGGCUCUCCUCAAUAAUAGAAAAAAAGGAAUAAGAGUUAAAAACUAGUGUUCAGGAAUUCUAAUGUUACUGAUUAGAGCAUCUAUAUUCCAGGGGGAUCAAAACCAGCAACACUUGACACGGGUGCCGUGGUGAACGUGCCGUUGUUUGUAGAAGUCGGCGAAGAGAUAUUGGUGGACACAAGGACAGGCCAAUAUAUGAGCCGAGCGUAAGGGAAAUCUAAUGAAUAAUUUUUUUUGAGCCAGAGUUUUCCUUUUUCGACUUUCGAUUUGUUGUCCACUUUCUUGCUGUUGAGGAUUUCGACUUUUGUUUCCAGAAAACAUAAUUAGAAGCAGAUUCUGUUGUAUACAUUGCAUCUUAUAUACAGAUUUGCAGUUCUCUCAGCCUAUUUGGUAAAAUUAGAAACUGUGAAAACAUGUAAAUUGCACAAUCUGGGAUCUGUGUGUUUAUUUUGUUAAUGCUGUUUGGUACCAAAUCAAAGUAGAGUUGAAUUGAUUUUCAAAUCAGUGAAUUCGCAUGACUUUUGAGUGAAUGUGAUUGACUUGAAAUUUACUGUUCACUGUUUCUGUUUUAUCCUUGCGGGAUCCGCAAAGGAGUUUUUGAGUAUUUUGGUUAGAUAAGUUUUAUUUAUAUUUGAGAAUUACAAAUCAUGGCAAAUUCGAUAUCAAAAAUUACCCCAUUUGCUUAAUACUUUUUGAAAUCAUUCCAAAGCAUCUAAAAUCAAGUUAAACAGAACCUCUAAUAUUUCCAAAUAAGAGCCGUCUCAAAUAACUGACCGUUUCUGGCACAAGCGAUAAAAGAUUUGAUGGUUGAUAGCUAUGUUUUCAAGUUCGACAUCUAGCUGCUUUAUAUUUUCAACUAAGUUUAUCUCUUAAAAAAAUGAAUAAGGUGGAUAUUAUGCUCUCUCUCUCUCUCAAAGAACAAGAGUCUCAGAUAGAUUCUAAUUGCAAAAGAAAAGGUUGUUAGUACUCCUUAUUCUCUCACAAAGAAAAAAGAGAUUAGGAGUAUCUUAACUGUGUUACUUAUUUUGAUAGACCCACACAUGUAACAUUGCAUCGAACAACAUUAUAACCUAUAACGCAACAACUAAACUGACCCAUAGUAUAAGAUUUGUUCAUUUCAUGGUAACAUUGGUAUAUUAAAUCUUUUGAACAUUAUUUAUAGUUGAUGUAUAAACUAAGCAACCAGGGCAUGAGUGAUGAUACAAGCCCUAGGACUUUAACAUGCUAGCCAUAAAUCCUCAUCAUAAGCUUUGAUGAGUGGAGUGAUAUUAACUCUCCCAACAAACAAAAUAAGCUCUUCCCAGGCCCCAUGACCUAGUAAAAAGUUGUGCAAGGGAACAUCACACAAUGGGUCACACCACAACACAUCCCUUUCACUUUUCCUUUAAAUGAUACCUGGCCCAUUUUCUUUCUUUUCUUUUCUUUUCUUUUCUUUUCUUUUCUCUCUCUCUCUCUCUCUUCUUGGCCUUUGAGCUUUGGUUGUAGGACUAGAAAUUAGGGUUAGGGUUUGGAUGGGGGCUCUUUGCAGAAGCAAGUGUUUAAAAUGAGAGGCAAGAUGAGCUGGCAAAAAGCAGGGGACUUUUACAGCAUGUGCCAGCAUCAAUGGAUGCUUUUUAUGCCUGGGAGGUCAUUUUCAACUGAUUAAGAAAAUGUAGUAAAAAGAAAAGGAAAUGCAACAUGAGUAGGUUGGAACUAUGGAAUUGUUUAGGGACCAUUAGUUUACUCUUUUAUGUUUGGCAAAGAAUGCUAGCAAUAUGAUCCAUGUUCCAUUUGAGUUGUACAAAAUUUUCAUAGGCUACUAAGAAGAGAGCUAUGCAUUAUUCACUUUUUCUUAGAACCUAUAUCUGGCCUUUGGAGAGCUUCUAUAUAAGUGUUGUUUAGUAAGCUAUUUGAAGAAAUAUUUUAAUCUUUAUAUUAAAAUUCUCUACCAGCUGCUCUCUGAAGCUGCAAAGCUUCGGAUAAGAGUUUUUUAACCUUGGAGUUUCAUAAUUUCAUCUCAGCUUUUCGAAACUUCCCAAACUUCACAAUUUGAUUCGUUGAACAUUUGGCUUUCGAAAGUAGCUAUAUCGGAAAGUUGGCCAAAAAAGUAGUUAAUAUUGAAUUCUCCUUCACCGUUUUUCUCAAUAACUUGAUCUUGACAAUGGUUCCUUUUGUCCCUUUUUUUUUUUUCUUUUAUUUAACUUUUUCUGAUGACUAGAGGGUUUAGUUAUGUAGUCUAUCCAAGAACAUGUAGAUAUGUAGUCUUUUAGUUACUUGAUACCAAGAAAGGAAACAUUCUUGUUUGUGUAUUAGGGUUUAAUUAAGCCUUCAUUUAACUUAAAAAACCAACAUAGAUCUACUUUAUCUUUGUGAUUAAGGAGCUAGAGAGAGAGGUACAGGUCAUGUGCAUAAGAAAGAAUAUUAGUUUCGUAUCGGGCAAAAAUUUAAACUCUAAUCUAUACUAGACCUAAAUCCUUUGGCAUAAUAUUUAGUAUCAGAGCUUGAUUCACGUUUAUUUUGUUUCUGGCUCAAUUUCUUUCGGUUUAGCCUUGUUUCAAUCUAGCUUCAUCUGGUUCUUACUUAGAUCGAUUAUGGUUGGAAUUGGAUUUGCCGAUGCAUAACACAAUUGUGAAAUAAACUAGAUUUUGUUGCAUAGCUGCUAAAUCUCCACAUUGUUAUGUUUCAACAUUUUGAUUAUACAAUAUGAUCAAAUAUUAUCAAAAGAAGUGAUCUUCAUUGCUGCACUCACAACCUUUUUAGCCAUAUAUAACAUCACCACCCUGCAUGAUCCUCUAAACACAACAUUGCUUGGUAUUGUUUUACAUUUAUUUACUCAUUUAUUUCUCUCCUGUCAUGUACUUUUUAUUAAUUUAUUACUGUUGUUUACACUUUGUUUAAUGCCCCACAUGAGUUACAGAGAAUCCCAGCUCAGGUACCUUCUAAUCUUGUGGACAACUUUAGGACAAAGGGAGUGGUUAUAAUUUCCUUAAUUUAAAUAAUGAACUAAGAUAAUGAGGAUUUAGAUGCAUUGUAAAGAACCAUAACAUGAAAGUAGGGUUGAGUUAAAAAUUUACUCCCUAGUGUUUGACUUGGAUAUAUUUGUUUAGUCCUAAGAUGAUGCUAGAGAAAAUUUAGCAUAGUAUUACAAUCUAUGAAUUGUGAAGUUCUUGUGAGUUAUCAAACAAUGUUAAGAGCUCAGUGAAAACAAAUUCAUUGGUACAAAACAACACAAAACAAAAGUUUGAAAACAUUUUCACCUCCCCUCACCAACAAUAGUAUUAGAUUAGAAAAUAGAUGCCAUCUAUUUUCACCCAUAAACAAACAAACCAGUUUUCUCUUCAAUCUAAAAUCCUAUAUUUCUCUUCAUAUUGUAAAUCCCAGCUAAAAAGGACCAAAAACAAAAACAAGAGUAGCCUAAAUCAACUCCUCUUCUGGGCUAUCUUGUGGGCACCUGAUGAGCUCCAAAAUGUUCACCACCUCGGCCAUGUCGGGCCGGUUCGACGGCACCUGUGACGUGCAAAUCAACCCUAAUUUCACAACCGACACCGCCUCCUCGACUGGAAACUUACCCCCUAACCUCUCGUCAAUACACUCCCCCACUCUCCUUUCCUCCAAUGCCCCCCUCACCACAUCGCAAAGGACCACCACAUCAUCCUCCAUGUACUCCACAGGCCGCCGCCCCGUCACUAUCUCAAGCGCCAAAACCCCGAACCCGUACACGUCGCACUUCUCAGUGAUCUUCAUGAUUUUACAUGCGAAUUCCGGUGCCAUGUAUCCAAGCGCGCUUUGGACUUUGCUACUAAGAACAUAUCGGUCUAGCAUCGGCAGCAGUUUGGCCAAUCCGUAGUCCCCGACCUUGGGUUCACCCGCCCCAUCGAUAAGAAUGUUGCUUGAUUUGAGAUUGUAGUGAAUUACGUUGUGACGAUGUAAAUGAGCCAAGCUUCUAGCUGUUCCAAGUAUGAUAUCAAACCGUUCCUGCCACGGUAGAUGGUUCGAUGGAGAGCUCUCGUGAAGGUGUUUGUAUAAGCUACCGCCAGGAACAAACUCGUAGAUAAGUAGUUGCAAGGAUGGAGUCCAAUAAUACCCUUCGAAAGCGACGAGAUUUGGGUGCCUUACUUUCCCUAGCUUGUUCACCUGUCUCUCGAAAUCUUCUUGCGACUUCACUAGGCUCGAAACCGUGAGCUUCUUGAUUGCCACCGGACGGCCGUCCCCCAGCAUGGUCUUGUACACAGUACCGAAUCCCCCGCGGCCCAGCUCGCAAUCCUUGUUGAGUAUGGCAUGGGCCCCGAAGCUAAACUGUGGGUCGGUCCCAGAAAACAUUACUAGCUUGCCCGAACUGUCAUCAGUUGCAGGCGAAUGGCAAUGGCUGUAGUAAUCGUCAGAAAGGGCGAGAGCAGCUGUGGAGCGAGAGGCGGAGGAGCGAACUCGGAUGUUAAGGACUGUAAUUGUGAUCACGCCGACCGUGAUUAGGGCAGCGGCCCCAAUGGCUACGAGAGCAGAGAUGCUGAAGAUUAUCUUCUUGUGACGGGCAUCGGAUGGAGAGUUAGGGUUGGAGACAGGAUCGGAGGAGGAGUUAGGAUUUAGGACGAUCGGCUUUGGGAGGACCCCGGGGCACGAGCGGUUAAGGACAGACCCGCAGAGGCCAGGGUUGUCGGAGAGGGAAGACGGGGAAAUGGUGUUAAAAAAGUUUCCGGCGGGGAGGUUGCCGGAAAAGAGGUUGCGGGAGAUGUUGAAGAAGAGGAGGUGAGGGAGGUUGGAGAGUUGCUUAGGGAGAGUGCCAGUGAGUUUAUUGGAGGAUAGGUCAAUUGUUUGGAUGGUGGUGAGAUUGCCUACUGCUGUAGGAAUUGGCCCUGUGAGAUUGUUCUCUGAUAGUAUCCUUCAUGAACAAAAUUCAACCGAAGAACAAAGAAAAAAUUGAAUCAGUUUGCGAUCGAAAACUCUAAAACUAAGAGAACCAGCAAUGAUUUUACCAUUUUUCAAUUCUUUCCUAGAAUGCAAGAUGAUUUAGACAAAAAAAAAACAGAGAAGAAAUGUAUUGAUUAUGAAUUAAAUGACUAGUUUAGUAUUAGCCAACCUGGUCUAAAAGGACAAAUACUAAAGAUUAGGGAGGGUGAUAAACUACGACAAACUGCGCAAAGUUAGCUGAAAAAGUUAAGGAUAAUCCAAAACUACUUUGACUAAGACAGCAGUGCUCACAGAAAAGCGCUUAUCACACCAAAACAAAAGAAGCAAAAAGAAUAAUGUUAUCAGAAACCAAACAAAGAGCUUUGGUGAAAGAUUAGUUCUAAAGGGGAGCUUCAACAAAUCCCUCUCUCUCUCUCUCAAUAAUGAGAGAAAAAGGUUCAGGAACAAUUUAUUCAAUAUUAUUAUUGCAGUAACUAAAUAGAACAUCGAAAUAAGGAGGACAUGAAUGGAAAAAAUAGAAAGGAAAAGAGAAACUUACAAAGAUGUGAGGGAUGAACAGUUCCCUAUCUGCACUGGUAUUUCUCCUGUAAGUGAGUUCUUAUCCAAUCUCAGCACCUUGAGAGAAACCAAUCCCCCAAUUUCAUUUGGGAUGCUCCCAUUCAAUAGGUUCCAACUGAGAUCAAGCACUUCUAAUGACUUGAUCUCUCCAACUGUCACUGGGACAGAACCCGAAAUCGAGUUCUUUGAAAGAUUUAACAGCUUCAGUUCAUGAAAUUUCUUGAUAUCAAGUGGAAUUUCACCAGAAAAUGUGUUGUCAGAUAAAUCCAACAUGCUCAGAUUCUGCGGAGCAUCACUGGGGAUUUGUAUCAUGCCACUCAUUUUGUUACCCGAAAGCGAAAUCCUCUUCAGUCCUGAUCGAAAAAUCCAAGAUGGGUGACUACCCAUCAAAGAAUUCCCGCUGAAGUCCAAUUCCAGCAAGCUUCUGCAAGCACCAAUCGAUUCCGGCAGGUUCCCCGUAAAAUUGUUCUCAGAAAAAUCCAGUUUCUGCAGAAAAGUGAGAUUUUGGAUUGAAUCGGGGACUCGCCCGGCGAACUGGUUGCGCGACAGAUCCAAAAGCUGCAAGCUUUUCAUCUCCCCAAUCCAAUUGGGAACUUGGCCGGACAACGAAUUCGAUCCCAAGCUCAAGUAACUGCACACGGAAAGCUUCUGCAUUGAUUCGGGGAGAUCACCAUUGAGCAAAUUUGAGCUGAGAUCGAGUGUUUUCAACAGAUAGCAGCUGCCGAUGUCGGCGGGGACCGGGCCCGAGAGCCGAUUCCCGCGCAAGUUGAGCGUUCGAAGCUUGUAAAGCUUACCGAUUCCAGCAGGGAGCUCGUCGGAGAAGGAAUUGAAGGAGAGAUCGAGGGAUUUGAGGUUGUACAGGGACCAAAUUGAGCUCGGAAUGGACCCCCGCAACCUGUUCGACGAAAUGUUUAGGCUGACCAGGGCAGAGCACCCGCCCACGCUCGCGGGGACGGCCCCGGUGAGCGCGUUGUCGGCGAGGGAGACCGCGGCUAGGGUUUUGAUCCGGGCGAGGCUAGGGUUCAGCGCCCCGGAGAAGCCGUUGCGGGCGAGGGAGAGCCUCUGGAGCGACUGGAGCUGGAGGAGCCCGCGGGGCUGGAGCUCCCCGGCGAGCCCGAGCCCCGCGAGCGCCAGCUCCGUCACCCGUCCCGAGCGGUGGUCGCACGCGACCCCGGCCCAGGAGCAGGGCGACUCGUCGUCCUCGCUCCACGACCCGAGGCUGGAGCGGGGGUCCCGUAGCCCCGCUUUGAAGACGAUGAGGCCGAGUACGUCGUCGUUAAUGGCGCUAGGCGUGGCGAGUAAACAAGGUAGGAGGAGGAGGAGGAGGAGAAGGAAGAAGACGACGGAGCUGUUACAUAGUAAUGGCGCCAUUUUCGUGGUGCUUUUUUUCAAAAAAAAUUUCCUUUUGUUCUUGGAAAAUGCUAGUUCGCCAUUAAUGGCGAGCUCGCGAGAGAGAGAGAGAGAGAGAGAGAGGGAGAAAUGGAGUUUUACUACGCAUCCAAAAUGGAGCUCUCUCUCUCUUUCGCUGUGCAUUAACACACUAUGUCUAUAUAUAUAUAUAUAUAUAUAUAUAUGUUGAGCACGAAGGAGUGAGGCUACUGUGUACACUUAAUACUCGUUGCUCGCCAUUGAAAUUUGCUUCUCCAUUAUGCGCGUAUCACUGUUUCAGGCUGAGAGAUGGGGCCCACAUGUGAGUCUUUUGACAAACUAAUUUAUUGUGCGCACCUGGUGCACAGUAAACCGUGCACCGUGCCUGUAAACCUCUCUCUAUUUGAGUAUUUAUUACCAUUUUGGGACAAUUGGUUACAUACUUUUGAAAUAUUUUCAACUUUUCUAUUUACCCUUCAUAGAAGGCUAGUAGUAGAAAUGCUCUUUUAUUUUUAAAAAAUUCUUUGAAAUAUAUCCUCAAAAUUAAAUUUUGUUAGUGAACUAUUAGGAACCGCUGUUAUCUAUGUGAGAUUACUCUUUUGUCCUUUCAAAUAUAUUUUUCUUUCGUCACCAACUUUUAUUAUUUGCCCCUUAAGUUAGGGAUAAAAUAAGUAUUUCGAUUUUUUAUACUUUCAAAUAUUCUGUUAUAUCAUUAUUAACUUUUCUUAUUUGUCCUUAAGGUAAGACAAAAUAGGUAUUUUUAUUAAUUUUUUAACUAUUGUUGAAAUUAAACUCAGGUUUAAUCCGAGAUGAUUUAAUGAACACUAACAAUAGAUGUCUUUUAAAUAACCCAUAAAAUAUACGAGGGAUAUACUUGAAAUAAAAAAAAAUAAGAACAAAAAAAAAUAUUUCAAAGAUUUUGAGAAAUAUAUAGACAAUUAUCUCUACAAUUUUCUACUUGGAACUCCAAGUUAGCUCACUAAAAACUGACGUGUCAAUGAUGUGAUAUUUUAGUGUUUAUAAAUUUAUAUUAUAUUUUUUACUACAUUGGCGGUAUAUUAGUAUCUAGUCAAUUGUAUAAUUAGACUGUAAAUUUAAUUAUAAAAAUAUAAAAUUUGUAAUUAUUUAUAAGGGUAAAAUGAAACUCUUUUAGCAAUUUAGAAACCAUCAAAGAGAACUAAAAUGAAACUUCGCCAAAAAAGAAAAAAGGAAAAAGUUUGGGAUUAAUGGUGCAAUUUACCUUAAAAAAUUUAUCAAAUUAUGUGUAGCCCAAAUGAAGCGCAGUGCUUUUACAACUACAUUUAUUUUCUCAUAAGGAGGGUUGGUUGUUGAAACUUGAAACAUGUAUAUCAUGGAUGGCACAAACACAAUAACUCAGUAAUUAUUAUUAUUAUUAUUAAAAGCAUUAAAAUAUGGCUUCUUUUGAUGUAGCACAACACCAUAACUACGUAGUAUUGUAGUUAAUGCAUGAGAGCUUUUCAACUUUCAAAGAUAACUAUAUAUUCAUUUUUUUCCCUUAUAAUUUAAUUAGAUUUGAGAUAGAAUAUUUGUAGUGAGUAUCUUUACUUUCGCGUCCUUUUUUAUGAUAAGAUACUCAUAUCGAUGAUCAACACACAGUUAGUUAAACAUUUAAAAGGCUUUAAAAUUAAUAAUUUUUAAUAGCAAAUAUAAGAUGCAUUUAGGUUCAUUUUUCUUAUUCUAGUUUUCGCCAUCUUCUUUUUUCAAUAUACAUUCCUAUACUAUUUUUUUUUUAUCGACAAUCUUUACAUUUUUAUUAAGGAACUAAUUGUUUUAGAUGAAAGUUAGCUAAUAACUUUUUUAAAAGACAAUGUUAGAUAGUAGGAAAGAUAUAAAUGAUUCUCUCCAUUAUAGAUACAUUGAUAACUUUUCUCAACUUAUUUUAAACUAUAUUUUCAACCUCUUUUGUUUUUUAUUUUCUGUGUCAAAAUGAGCUAUAUANGGCCUAUAUAUAUUUAUACUCUGCUACUUUCAAUCAGCAUUUUUUAGUAAAACUGCUAAAUUUCAUCUAUAUUUAUAGAUUUAUUAUUUAUAUAUAUUAUAUUGAUUAAAAAAAGUUAGUGAUAUCUCUAAAAAUAUAAAUACAUUGUCGAAAGUGAAAAAACCCUCUAGCAUAGUAAUAUAAUGCUUAAUCGAUACUUACAUUGAAAUAAACUUUCUGAUGAAUUAGAGUACAGAUAAAAAUUACUUUUCUCUUUUUUUUGAUUAAAAUUCUAGAUCUAAAUCUAAAGUACAGUAUAAAUAUUCAUAAAAUUUUUGUAUAGUCGUAUAAUUAAAAAGAUAAUAUAAUAUAGUAAAUAAGUAACACUAAAGCUAGAGUACAUCAGGGUACUAAGCUACAGUACAUCAGGGUGUGUAAUUAACCCUUCUUUAAUGAGUGGGUUUUUAACUCUUCCCAAAAUAUUCAAUGUGGGGCUCUACUCCUUUUUUGGCUCUCCAUUUGCAUUAAUUGAUCAUUAAAUGCGUGGUCGUUUUACCUCAUUAAAUGCUACCAAAUUUUAAAAUGGAGGGAACUUGUAAUCAAUUUAAAUUUCAUUGCAUACACCUAUUGUAUAACUAUAUCUCAUAUACCUUUUUUUUUUUUUUAAUCCCAGAGAUCUCUUAAUUAGAAAUUUAGCUUGNCAUUAGGCAUAGAGAGAAUUUCAAUGAGUUUGGAAAGCACCACCCACCUUGUAGGUCUAUUUAGGUGCUCCGAGGAUUUUCUUGGGAUUUUUAGACCUCUCGUUCUUUACCUGCGGCAAAACGAACCCUUAUUAGGCCAUUUUGCUCAUAACUUUACUUUGACUUUUCGAAAUGCUUUUCCGAGCGCACCAACGCGUCGGGAAUAUCCCCAAUUAGGUUUUUAGAGGGUCAAUUGCACUUAGAAACCCUUAUGAGCAAAAGCCCCAAUUUGGGUGCCCUAGCUCCAAUGUAUAUCAAAACCUAGGGUUUGAUCUCAUUGGGAAGCAAAAGUAGCUUCAUUAUACUCUAAUUAGUCCAUUAGAACCAUUCUUAGGCUUUCCAAAACCCUAGUUUGGAUUUCACCAUUAGAGGUGGUCCAAGCUCACCUAUGUAUCAAAACUAGGUUUUGAUCUCUUUAGAAGCAAAAGAAAGCUUCAAAACUACUAUAUAUUCCAUUAAAAACCAACCUUAGGUUCAUUCAAACCCAUUUCUAGGGUUUUACUACAUUAGGGUUUGAAGCUUACCUUAUAAGCUUCCCUUUCUUCAAGCUAGAGAUGAAGGAGAAGGAGUUUCUUCACUUCUUCUUCUUCUUCUCCACUUUCUUCCUCUUCUCUUCCUUCUUUUCUUCCUUUCUUCUUCUUCUUCUUCUUCUUCUUUUGUCUUCUAGAGAGAGAGAGGGAGAGAAGAGAGUGUGAGAGGGAGUGGAAUGAGAGGAAAAACCCCUCAGCCCCCUAACAUAGCUCAAUGGGUUGCAAAAAUGCUAAUAAACCCCUCAACUUUCACUUUAUUACACUGCCCGAACUGGGCAGUUCGCGCAGGCAGAGACCGGUCUCCCCGAGCAGGGACCGGUUCCCGAACGUUGUCCCAGCGCGGCCAGAGCUGCCGCGCGCAGUGCAACCGGUCUCUCCCUAUGGGACCGGUCUCUGGGGGACCGGUCUCUCAGACAGAGACCGGUUCCCGAGAGCUGAUCCUCCAGGACUUAGCCGAUUUUUCGGCUAUCUCACUCUGCACGCGUUCGGGGACCGGUCUCUCCCUUUAGGGACCGGUCCCCGAGAGCUGAAAAUCUGCAGUUUUGCAGAAUUCAAUUCUUUAGCUCUCGAAAACCUUCCACAACUCACUUUUAAUCAUCUUAACACCUUCGGACUCUCCGAAGUGUUCCAUCCUCGCACUUUGGUCAAUUUGACUAAAGUUCGACAUCUUUAUUUUCCGAAUUUUCGGUAUAUUACAGCUAUAAUCAAUCUUAAUUGGGAUUUAAUUUACAUACCCCCAAAUCGAAGCUCCUUCUUCCAGAUUUCUUCAGUUCAGACCAGCAGGGGCUUCAACUUCACCACUUCUUCUAUUUUUGGCAGCCAAUACUUAAUCAUUUAACUCUUUUCUAAACUAACCACUUCGAUUUUAAUUUAAAAUGGCAUCAACUUACUUUAAUCUAGGAUCUUAUCAAGUUGAUCUCAGCACCAACAACACCAACAGCAUCAUCUCCCAUCUCGAUUACCUCUCGCAGCUCAGCACAGGGGAGAAUCCAACUCUCUCAAACUUUUUCUCCCUAAACUUGUUCUUAGGGCUGAGAGAAAAGAGAGAGGAAGAAGUUGGAUGUAAUCAAGCUGAUGAAGGGGUUACCUAGCACGUGUACAACUUCCACUCAGCUGGGGUUAAGUGAUAAGCUCAGAAAACUGCAUCUUAACCCCUUAAACUUGCAAAAAUGCAUUGCAGCCUGCAGGUUUACAAUUCAGCCCCUGCAGGUUCGCAGUUUAGUCUCUGCAGGUUCGCAGUUUAGUCCCUGCACUAACAACAAGCUGGCAGCAGCAAAUUUAAAGCCUUCUUGCGCGUCUAGUUCGCUUCGAACACUCCUAAUCCCUUCCAAUUCACGCCAAAUAACCUCUACAAAUUGCCAAAUUAAUUUGGAAGCAAAUAAUUUUUAUUUUAGCAAUAUUGUGAUCAAUUUGAUCCCAAUCGACUAAAAUUUCAGCUUUCAAGUAGCAAUGGCAAUUGGAUGUCUUUAGCCACUCCAAUUCCAUUCAUGUCUAUUCUCACACUUCCAAAACAUAUGUCAACGACAGAUCACAAGCUGCUAAUUAAUUUUAGAAAUGCUUAAUUUGCAUUUUAGCAUUAUUGUGAUCACUUUAAUCACAAUUAGCUUCUAAUCAAAUUUUCAGUCUAUUACACAUAGGUUGGACAAGAGUGGCAUUGAACCUAGUGUUAAAGAACAUAGGUUGAGAAUUGAACCUAGAAUCAUAUAAACCUAGGUUAUGUGAUAAAAGCAUUAAAUCUAUGGUCAAAUGGAUCUAGGAUGGAAAGGAUAUUGGACAUAGAUAGGUCGACACUAUAGGAUUAAGACCAACCCUUGAGCUAUGUGAAAUGGAUUUCGGAAUCCCAGAACUUAUGGAUCACACCGAGAAGGGUGUGGGGCGUGUGCGACGAUUUCGCAGCCAGAUGGUUAAGCCGGUUUGUGGAUUAUACCGCCGGUUGACUUGAGCCAUGGCGGGGCGUGUGCAACGAUUUUGCCGCCGGGUUGCUAAGUCAUGCAGCGCGGUAGGCUGUGGUUGGCUGAGGUGCAUGUGAGAGUUCCUUCACCUCGAGCCGGACAGAGCGCGGAUUAUCCGUAGUUGAUUGACUCAAGAUCGAGUCGAGUGGCAUAGUGUGACUAAGGUAAGAGUAACCUUAGGAAAGAAUGGUAAAUGAGCAUAAUAUGGCUAAGGUGUGAGUACCCUUAGUACAGAAUAAAGAAUAGUUAAAAAUAAAAAAUGGCUAACAAUAAAAGAGUGGCAAAUGAUAGAGAGUAAAACCAUUUAAUCUACUUGCAUAGUUGCAUGAAUUUCAUGUUGCAUGUUUUGAGGCACAUUCAUGUAUUUUAAUAUUGCAUAAAAUACUUGUAGAUAUCUGUUGGACUAACAUGAUUGCAGUGCCUCCUUGGACCUGGUGGGUUGAGCUUUUCCCUUGGGUGGUCGUACCCACUGGGAACUAUAUUUAUAUAGUUCUCACCCCCGUGUGGUUUUGAGGGUUAUAGGUUCACACGCGAGCGGCGCGGCGCCGCGAGGAAAGGGCGCAGCUUCGUAGAUAGCGCCCUACCCCAGAGACCAGAUGUAGCACACUGGACCUUUGCAAAUUGCGAGGUUCGAGUGUUUGAUCUGUGUUCCGAGUUUUUUCAGAUAUUCUGGAGGGUCGUUGACAGUGUUCCGACCUAUGGCUUGUAUCCCGAGAAUUAUAGUAUUUAAAGUAGCGCUAAGGUCACCAAAGCAAUCGACUUUGGCUGCUCUCGGGUUGUAAUUUUCUAGGAAGUGUACCGGUACACCUUGAUGGUUGUACCGAUACAGAAAGUGUACCGGUGACAACUCAAUGGUUGUACCGGUACAAGUGGGAUUUUCUGCCAACCCGAGGCUCGGAAAGAUUAGACCUAGUGGAAAAACCGGCGGCGUCGGCGGCCAAACCCACUGGAAACUAUAUUUAUAUAGUUCUCACCCCAUAUGGUUUUGGGGUACAGGUACACACAGGGGCGAGCUGAGCGAGGAUCGCGGCAAGGGUAUGGCGCCCAAAGUGAGUUAGUUAGUAGCUUUCCGUUAUGCAUUAGAGUACCCUCGUGUACUAGAUACCAUGUAUAUUUUGGAUAGAAAUUGGAGAGCCAUGAUGUAUUUUGGAAAAUAUGUAUUUACAUUUUGGAAAAUGAAAAUGUAAUGUAAUCAAAUGAUGUAACUAUUGAAUGGUUGUAAUAGUUAGACUAUC
rnacentral:lncRNA from 1 species